rnacentral:lncRNA from 1 species
CAACAAAAAUCCUGACCCGAACCAAGACAUACGGGUCCGACUACUCGCCUUUUCGUGACCCUUCCCGAUUACCAGCGGUUGUCCUAUAUGGCCGUGGUGACGAACAUUGGCUUAUCAUUUUGGAAUUCCCAGAACGCCCAAAACCUUUGGAAGAAGAAAUGAUCGAUACCUAUGUUAAAACUCUCGCUUCUGUUGUCGGCAGGUUUUUAAAUUAUAAUUAUUCCUUCAGAUUUCAUUAAAUUUGGGUUUUAUUUUUCUCUUUUGUUUGUUCUGAUCUUGUAGUGAAGAGGAAGCGAAAAAGAGAAUAUACUCUGUCUGUACAACGAGGUAUAGUGGGUUUCGUGCUUUUUUUUCUAAGGAUUUGGUCGAAAAACUUAGAGGUAAUUUCAUUUCCCAUUUACUACGGUUUAGGGUUUACAUGGUUUUCCCUUUUUCUAGUGUAAUUGGAACAAGAAAUGGGUUUUUUGAAACAAUGGGUUUUCAGACAGAAAAAAGAAUUAACAUUGGUUUUCAUUGUGUGUGAUGUGUUGUUGGCUGUUUUAGGGUUUUAAACCUCCCGAUGUGAUUGCUUUCUAUACUAAUUUAUUAGGGUUUAAACGGUUUUUCCCAAUUGCUUUUGUGAGUGUUUUUGUACUUACAAUUGAUGAGGCAUCCAAUUUGUUCUAAAAUCAAUGGGCAUUAUGUUUUUACAGAGUUACCUCGUGUACGCUGGGUUUUAUCAGAUGACUUUAUCUAUGGUCAAGAUCGUUAUUAUGGAGGUGGGUAGUUUAAAGAUAAGCUUGUUGCUUAUAGCCAUUGAAGUUCCCAUUGUCAAUAAAUUUAAUCUCUUUUUUCUCAGGAGAUUUGUUUGUUGAUGGGAAUGUGAUUCAUAGACCCCCGCAGCACGGAGUUGGAGAAAGUGCUGAUUAUGAUCUUUGGGUUAUCAAAUUCGAAUCCCCGAGAAAUAUCGAUUUCUAUGUUAAAUUCCUCGCUUGUUUAGUCGGCAGGUUUUUGAUUCCUUCAAUUUUGGGGUUUUUUUUUCCGGGAAUUUGAGAAUUGGGUUUUAUUUAUCUUUUUCUGUUUGUAGUGAAGAGGAAGCGAAAAGGAAAAUAUACGCCGAUGGUGGUAGACUAACGAGGUAUACUGGGUUUUGUGCUGUUAUGUCUAAGGAGAUGGCUUAUGAACUUGAAGGUAAUUGUAUUUCUCAUUUAUUAGGGUUUACAUGUUGUUCUCAUUUAUUAGAGUUCAGUGUUUAGAAUUGGCGUUUUGUUUGUCUAGGGUUUCCUCUUGUAAAACGCGUUGAUCGGGUUUCAGAGGCCGAAAAUGACGCAUAUCUUGAAGCUAUGGAAUUAUUAUCAUGGGAAUUCCUUGAUGCUGUACCAACCUUUCAGAAAUUGCUAGCAAGAGAGGAGAGGAGACUGUUGCGAUUACUAGAUUUGGUGAUGCACCAGAUAUUAAACGAUAUUUAUACUCGUAAAAUGGACGAAACCGAAACUGAGGGCUAGGACCAGAUCUUUUCCGAUUUGGUGGAUUCAUAAAUCUCUUUAUUUAUUUAUUUUAAUUUCAAAAACUAUUUUAUUUAUUCGGUAUUAGAAGAGUCAUAAUUAUUUGAAUUAUUAAUUCGUGUAAUCUCCAUUCCUAAUAAAUAUUAAGUUUAUUUAUUGUUGUUAUUAUUUAAAAUAUAUAAUUUUGAUUAUUUAUAAAUUUAUUCUAAUAUCUUUAAUCAUUAUCUCAUUGUAGUCUAAAUCAUUGGUAAUAUAUGUUUUAAUUUCUGAAUUAUUCCCGCCGGACCAGUGAACAGGCCUUACUACUAGAAUAACCAACCCGGUGUCCUUAACAUUAAUUUCCCCGGAGGUGCACAAAAUUUUGGAUAUUAUUUUUGUACCACUGGUAGCAUGCUUAACUAAUAGCAAUAAUUUAUUCAGCUGCGGCUUCGGCAUGCACUUCCAUAUACAUAAAUCAAGUUAUAGGUUUUUUUUUUUUCCCUCAUGCAAUCGAUGUUCAAAGCUAAAUGAGAACACAACGAAGAUGCUUUCAUGGAAUUAGCAUAAUUGAUCCAGUUGUUCUGAGAUUCUCAGUAUUCGAAAUGUUACUGAAUUAAUAUUUAUCCACUAUACAGAUAGGGCGGAAGCCUUAUGAAGUUAUGGUUGAUUCUUCAAAGGGUUAACUCUAAAAGAAGAUCCACAUGCAAGUGGAUUACAGGAGCAGCCUAACAGAUCCCGGAUUGGUUAUUCGAAGAAAAACCCUCAAAACUCCAAUUCUGUGAUUGGGAGUAACUGAUGAAAUGAGAACCCUGAGUUCAUCUGUCAGUUCAUUCUUUGGUGUGAGUAGAAAAGAAGAUAUAGGACUUGCUUUAUCAUUCUUUUAAAAAACCAGAUCCCCUAUACACAUUUUAAAAAAAAUAUCAUCUUGUACCUUACUCUUGUACAAAAUUUGCUUAACUAUUUGAAUACAUUUGGUCAGGCAUUGAAAUGCAACAUUAUGAUACAUGUAAAAGGAACUCAUAAAGAGAACUUUGGGUUGCUUUUCCACAUGCUAUAUAAAUUAUGUACAGUGUGGGAGCUUACAUAGCCUUUGCAAAGGAACAUUGUGAUAUGUCUAUAAUGGAUAAAGGAGCAGCAACAAAAGCUCCACCAUCGGUUCAAAUGGUUGUGGAAGCAUUAGCCGGAGAUUUAGAAUGGUGAGACACGAAUGAUUCUACAAGUGGAUUCACAAGAUGUGGAGCUUCAUCCUGCAUGCACAUUACUAAUACAGCAAUGAAUUAUCAUCUUUGUUAACAGAAAAACCUGCCGAACCACAGUUUCAUGAGAGAGCAAACCUGAGGGCAGUGGCCAACAUUGGGGAGGACGACUCUACAGUAUAAAAAAUCCCCGUAGGCUCUUCCGAGUUCGAUGCUUUCCCAUGGAUCCUUGUCACCCCAUGCUAUCAAGACAGGACACUGCAAAAAGAGAGAAACAAGCAACAUAAACUAACACGGAAACUAAAGGGAAAAGAAGACGGCAUACGAGAAAUCAGUUUAAGAAACUUACUUCAACCUGCGGAAGUAAUUCCUCGGGCAGGGGACCACCUGUGUAGCAUAUGAACUCAAGAAAAACAUCAACAGCACCAGGCUCAAGUCCUGGAUGUAGGAUAAUCUGAACUAGUUCUUCGGUCACUUGAGAGGUGUCAUGGUAACACUGAAAUGAAACACCAGAAGCAAUCAAGCAAAGAUUGAUUCAUUUCUUACCAAAUUCAUCAUAGGAUACUACCUGACAAAGAAUACUUCUAACAGACUCCGGUGUGGCAACGGAUCCGAAGAAAAGUUACCGACUGCAGUGUUCCUGCCAAGAUAUCAUUACUGCCCGAAAAAUCCAUAUGGCUAGUGCAACAUUUCUAAACUAGAAUGUAAAAAUAAAAAUGGUUCCAUAUCGUUUUUUUACCUAAGCAAACUCCGAAAUGCGCAAUGAAAGGUCUUCCAAACCAUGGUUGCUUUUUGACAUGAAGCAUGCGCAGAGAUAUAUUUAAUAGGAAUAAACCCCUACAGAUCUCCGGCUUUGCUACUGCAGAUUGAAGGCCAACCAGUCCUACGUGAUGACGCCCAUUAUUAUACAGACAUAAGCAUCAAGCAUAAAAUGAAUUAAAACACUAAUAAGGGAAAUUACCUCCAAUAGAGUUACAAAUAAAGAAAGCAUUAUCUUUAACCACACUGCUACAAAAAUCAUUGAGAACCCCAAGUCUCAAAUAUAUAGAAUGAGUCCCCAACUUCACGAGGAUUCGGUUUGUCCGAGUAUCCGUAGCCAAUAAGAUCAAUUGCAUAUACCCUGUGUGAUUUUGCUAGAACAGUGAAAGAAACGCAGGUAAGCUUGAACACUUUAGAAGAAAACUGUUUACAAUUUUAAUUGUUUCUCUUUACUUAGUUCAACACCUAGUCAAAUGAAAAUAUUUAUAGGAAGCAAAUAACUUCCUUGCGUAACAAAUUAGCUAAACACCUUAACAGACCCUAACUACCUCUCUAACCAAUACUAUCUUUAACAUGCAUCCAUCUUCUCCACCGAAACAACCCGAAGAAAAUUCCUAAACCGAGUAAAACACGAAACAGACAGUGGUUUAGUUAAAACAUCUGCAACUUGAUCGUACGCAGGAACUUCCCCAACCAAAACAGAACCAUCUGCAACCUUUUCACGAACAAAAAAUAGAUCUAACUCCACAUGUUUGAAUUUGGAGUGUAACACAGGAUUGGCAGCAACAGCUACUGCACUGGAGCUAUCACACCAGAUAUUGGGCUGAGUAGGUAACCCGAUAUGUAACUCUUGAAGUAACGAAAGUAUCCACAAAACAUCACUGGUGACAGCAGCCAAACUUCGAUAUUUAGCUUCAGCUGUAGACCUAGAUACCACCUGCUGUUUCUUCGAAGACCAAGAUACGGGAUUAGAUCUAAAAAAUACACAAUAUCCUGAAGUAGACCGCCGAUCAUCAAAAUCCAACCCCCAGUUUGCAUCCGAAAAUCCAACUAGAGACAAAGAAUCAGACCUACGAAAAAUAAUUCCAAAAUCAAGAGUACCAGACAAAUAUCGCAAUAUCCUUUUAAGAGCAGCCAUAUGAACUGUGGUAGGAUUAUGCAUGAACUGACAAAUCCUGUUAACUGCGUAUGCAAUAUCAGGCCUAGUCAUGACAACAUACUGUAGCGCACCAGCCAAACUUCUGUACUCCGUUGGAUCAGACAAAGGAUCACCGUCACUCUUAGAAAUAUGCGACGAACUAAUCAUGGGCGUAUGAACACUUUUGGCAUUAGACAAACCACUACGCUUCAACAUAUCUUGAAUGUACUUCCUCUGACACAGAUGAAGACACCUAGAUGAGGACUGGGUAACCUCAAUUCCCAAAAAAUAAUGCAAAUCACCCAUGUCUUUCAACGAAAAUUCAUCAUUCAACAGCUUCACAAACCAGUCAAUAGAUGACGGCACAUCCCCAGUUAUGAUUAUGUCAUCAACGUACACAAGAACAUAGAUAGUGCAGUCAGACUGAACUCGAACAAAUAAAGAUGCAUCCGACUUUGAACCAGAAAACCCAACCGUCAGAAGAAAAGCUUUCAACUUUUCAAACCAAGCUCGUGGAGCCUGACGCAGACCAUACAAAGCCUUUUUUAACCGACAGACCAAGGGUCUCCCAUUAACGCCAAGCUUAACAUAACCAGGAGGUUGUUGCAUGAACACUUCACAAUCAACAUCCCCAUUCAAGAAGGCAUUGUUGACAUCAACCUGUCGGAGCAACCAUUCUUUAGUAACUGCAGCUGACAAUAUAACCCUUAUAGUGACGGGUUUUACAACUGGAGUAAACGUCUCUUGAAAAUCACAACCUGGGACUUGCGAGCAGCCUUUCGCAACCAGACGUGCUUUAUAUCGUUCUACUGUACCAUCUGGGUUUUUCUUGACUUUAAAUAACCAUUUACAACCAAUAACUUUGUGACCAGAUGGUAAAGGUACCAAUUCCCAAGUACCAUUACGAAUCAGGGCAUCAUACUCAGCUUGAGCAGCAGUUUGCCACUCUGGACUCGCAAAGGCCUCCUCAAUCGUUGACGGCUCUACAACUUCAACAGCAAGCACUCUAGGUUUAAAAAUACCCGCCUUUGACCUAGUGGUCAUGGGAUGAAUAUUCACUUCAGGUGCAACACUCUCUGGUCCUGUAGGCGCAGAUGGAAUCAGAACAACUGGUGUGGGAGACUGAUCACCAGACAAUGAUGGACUAUUAGGAGAGGAAAUACUGUGAGGGCUAGUAUUUGUUGGAUCAUCAUGUACUCCACUCUGAGGAACCAACACCCCAUUCGAAUAUGGACUACUAGGAGAGUUAAUAUUUGUUAGACCAUCAUGUACUCCACUUUGAAGAACCAACGCCCCAUUCGAAUUACUCGGGUACAGACACGCAGAACCAGUGCCGGAGUUCUGAUGACACGACAUAUUAGAUUUGAGCAUAGGCAAACAAGCAGAUAUAGUACUCACCUUCUUAGAAGGCAGUGAUAAAGACGUCGGAGAUAGAAAUCGUGAUUCAUCAAACUCAACAUGCCGAGAGACAAUGAUUUUACCAUCAGGCAGAAGACAUUGGUAUCCCUUGUGACAUGAGCUGUAUCCCAAAAACGUGUAUGGUUGUGACCGAAAUUCUAGCUUGUGACAAUGAAAUAGACACAAAAAUGGAUAGCAACAACACCCAAAAACACGUAAAUGAUCAUAAGUAGGAUCAUGUCCAUACAAGACCCUAUAUGGAGUCUUACCAUCCAGUACCGGUGUGGGAAGACGAUUUAUUAAAUGAACUGCACAUGUGAACGCAUAUGCCCAAAACUUCAUUGAAAGUCCCGCUUGAGCUAAAAGUGUGAGUCCCAUUUCCACAACGUGUCUAUGUUUCCGUUCCGCAACACCAUUUUGUUCAGAAGUGUGAGGGCACGUAACUCGAUAAAUAAUACCGUGAGAAGCUAGAACUGGAGCGAAGGCUCGAUACUCCCCACCCCAGUCACUCUGAAACUGUUUGAUGGACUUUCCAAAUUGAUUCUGAACUAGUUUCUGAAACUGAUUGAAGCAAUUCACAGCCUGAGACUUCUGCCGUAUUAAGUACACCCAAGUGAAACGAGAACACAUAUCGACAAACGAGACAUAAUACCAAUUGGUUCCAGAAGCAACUGAGGCAGGUCCCCAUACAUCCGAAACAACCAACGAAAAUGGAUCAGUAUAUUCAGUAGUAGAAACAGGAAAUGGCAACUUAUGAAAUUUUCCCUUUUUACAAGGAGUACAAACAUCACUUAUAGCAACUUUAUUCAUAGCAACUUUAUUUAACACGACAUGACAUUUAUCAAAAACAUCAUUAACAACAUUCAACGAUGGAUGACCAAGAAGUUUAUGCCAUAACAAACACAACUCACUGUCAGCAGUCCGAGUUGGAAUUUCAACUUGAGCAGUAGAUGGAUGAAACGUAACAGGAACAGACGCAUCUGAUAUGGAAAACUGAUAUAGCCCAUUAUGAAUACGGCCCAUCAGCAAAAUCUCCUGUGUCAUGCUAUCCUUAAUCACACAAUAAGUUGAAUGAAAUUCAAAGAACACACCAUUAUCAGUUGCAAACUGUGAUACUGACAAUAAAUUCUUCCUAAUAGCCGGAACACACAAAACAUUAGAUAAUCGAAGCACCCUAGAACGAGUAGAUAUAUCACCCUGACCGACAGAUGAUAUCAUAGCAGGUGUACCAUCACCCAUUAAAAGAGAGGACUUACCUGAAUAUGGAACGGCAUCACGGAUUGCCGAAUCAUCUUGACACACGUGAUUACUGGCACCCAAGUCAAGAUACCAUGAUGUUGUGCCAGCUUGUCCAGGAAUCGGGGAGUCAGAACCAUCCCCACUAACCCCACAUUGUGUAGAGUUAAUAUGCGAACCUGAGAUAGACGGAUCAGAAUAAUCAGAAGCAUGUAAAUCUCCUAACCUAGGAAGUCCAAAACACGGAUUCCACGCGGAGAAAACACGAGCUCGUGGUUUAGUCCGCCAUGGAACACCAAAACCAUCAACCGGUUUAGAUGAAUCAAGCUGCACAUUAUUCGAAAUAGGGUUAGCAUCCAAUAACGAAUCAUUUAGCCCAAUAUUACCAGUCGGACGAACCCCAUCACGCGGCCCAAAAUUUCCAGUAAUUGCACCAUGAGUUCCUCCACCAUUCGGGCCAAGAGUAUGUGGCCUAUACUCAUGAUUUUCAACAAUAGGCCUAAGCCAACCACCAUUCGGGCCAAGAGGUUGUGGCCUAUACUCAUGACUUUCAAUAUUUGGCCUGGGCCCACCACCCAUCGGUCCUGCAUAAGGCGCACUAAAAUUAUUAUAUCCAUCAGCACAAUAAUUUUGACCAAUUUCAAAACUAUUUUGACCAUAUCCAUAAUAAUUUUGACUAGAAGCCACAUUAUUCUGACUAGUGCCACCGCCAUGUUGACCAAAAUUUGAAACUCUAGGCCGUGUAUUCGGUGGUGAAGACCAGCCACGAUCCUCAGAAGCACAAAAAUUUUGCAUCGAAAACUGCAUCGGAGAAGCCUCGUCACGGUGGUACCGAUAGUAGCAACGCUGAGCCACGUGACCGAACCUGGAGCAGAUCUGACACUGGAGACGCGGCCUGAAGUUCCUACCACGGCCACGCACAGUCAAACGACCCCCACGCACCGAACCAUCCGAGGCCGAAAACGAUGAUUCUUCUACCAUAUUUGCACUGUACAAAACUUCCUGAUUCGGCGGAACAUGAUGAGUUUCACAUUCAAUUAGAGCGUCCACCAUACGCUGAAAUGGUAGGGGAGUCGGUGACAACGAAGCAGAGGACACCACGCCUUCAAAUUCGGAUGGAAGACCCGCAAGCAUGACCGCCGUCCGCUCUGCCACUGAUACAGAUGUUCCAGACGCUUCUAGAUGUGCAGACAGACUCUUUAGUUUGGCAACAUACUCUCGGAUCGACAAACUCCCUUUCUUGAAGGAGUGAAGUUCAUGACGCAGCCUGAUACGAGUCACAAAAGCCCAAAUUCUUGAAGGCGAGGCCCAAUAAGCAAAUUCCCAGCCCAAUCAAGAAAUCCAUCCAUACUUAGUUGAAAAUCAGGCCAAAUUGUCAAAGUGGCCCAAGUUGUAAAGUUUUAUUUUUAUUUUUAUUUAUUUAUUUACUUAGUUUAAAUUUUUAUGUCAAUAUUCAGUCCAAGAGUCCCAGAUAAAAUGACCUUUGACCGAAUUUCCAUAUUAAAAUAAUUAGGAGUUUUUUUUUAUUUUAGUUUUCUAAUUAGAUUAGGACUAGUUAUAAGGCAUAUUUAAAGGCAUGGCUGUCCACCUGGUUAAACACUUAUCAUUAUUAUUAAAAUUUCAGAUUUGUUGAGAGCAGAAUUUUCUUUGAGUUUUCUCCAAGAUUUCUCUCUUGAGUUUUCUUUAGAAGUUGUUUUAACAAUCUUGUGAUUGUGGGAGCCAUCUUCAACCUUCUUCUUGCCAUUGAUAUUCUUUGGAGGGGAGAUUAGAGCCGUUUGAAGGGAGUUGUGAGAUCUUUCGAGAUUUCAAGGCUUCUUAGGACUUAUCUUUUAAUUUCUUACUGUCAAUUCUUUCUUUAUUUCUACUUGUGCUGAAUCAUUAUCUAAUCUAUUUUCUGUUCUUAUUGUGUUUUCAGCCUUUUUCUAUCUUAAGGAAUCAGCCCAAAAAUCCCCAAUUUCUAGGGUUUUUCCAUACUCUUUUUGGGUGAAAUUAGAUUGUCGAAAUUUGGGGAAAACUAUCUUGGUGUUCAAUUGGGCAGAAUCACAAUCUCCUUGAGGGUUUCAAGAACCCUAACACUUAUUUCUAUUCUCAAUUUGAUUCUUUGCUGAUUUGGGGAUUUUAUUUCAGAUCUGAAAAUUUAAAAAUCUAAUCUUUUAAUUUUCUGUUUCGUUUCAGAUCUAAUUGUUUAGGGUUUUCGUAGGAGUUUCUCGUGACUUGGCAACUCGAUCUUGGUCCGCGCGCAACCCCGUAUCACAGCCUUUCUUGUCGUAGAUCCGUAUCGGCGGCGAACAUCGCCAACGCCGUAGUCCACACCUCGGAUGCCGAUUGCACAUCCAUAAAAGAGGAUAUAAUGGUCGAGCUUAUAGUAGAAAGAAGCCACGAAGUAAUAAGAUUUUCCUGUUGUGUAAACACAGAUGCCGCCGGAUUAAGUACAAGAGCACCGUCCGAUGCUUGUACAAAUCUCUGCGGCGCAGACACAGAUCCAUCCAGAAAACCAAACAAAUCAUAUCGAUUAACAAUAAAUCGAACCUGUUGCUUCCACUAAAGAAACGUCCCUUCAUCAAGCUUCACGACCUCAUGCCGAGGAAACGAGUUCACCACCCGAUCAGCAGUGAAGACUGAGCCAUUCAAUUCAACGGAGUCGGAGGCAGCAGAUUUUGUCGUGGCCAUUAUCAAGAUCUCUUAGCGACUGAUACCAUGAAAGAAACGCAGGUAAGCUUGAACACUUUAGAAGAAAACUGUUUACAAUUUUAAUUGUUUCUCUUUACUUAGUUCAACACCUAGUCAAAUGAAAAUAUUUAUAGGAAGCAAAUAACUUCCUUGCGUAACAAAUUAGCUAAACACCUUAGCAAACCCUAACUACCUCUCUAAACAAUACUAUCUUUAACAAACAGGAAUAUUUUUCCUCCAAUGAUUACUGUACUAAGCAAGACAUUAGAAGAACUGACAAUUAAGCAUGAACGCAUGGAACCAAGUUAUUUAAAGGAAACCUUUGAAACGAUUAAUAAUUGAUACACAUUUGAAACAUGCAUAUACAAACUGCACAUGCAGAAACCAAUCACUUGUUUGCUAAUGAGAAGAAAAAUUCAACUAUGCAGACCUGUUUGCUCCAAAACCAUGUACUAAAACCAAGGCAGGACUGCUCCUCCCAGAACACUGAUAGCGAGUAGAAGAGCCCUUCCAGUUCCAUGUACUACAGAAACAAUAGAUACAAUGCAACAACAUCAAAAAAUUAAAGAAAAUUAUAUUAAAUUUGUUUAAUUUGUUAUUUGAUUUUACAAAUUUUUUAUGAUAUUUAUUUUUUAUUUAAUUUGGUACACUUAUUUAAUAAAAAUUAUAUAUUUUAGUUUAGAUCUAUAUAAAUUUAAUUUUUUAAAUAUAUUGUUCAUGUUUUGUUUAGGGGCGAAGCCAGAACAAUUUUGCAUGGGGGCCAGAUGAAAUUUUAAUUUUUUAUAGUCUAUAUCUUUAAAAUUUUUAAAGGAUUAAAUUGAAUUUUUAUAAUUUUAGAGGGGCCAAAGUGUAAUUUUACCUUUACUAAUUUAAAAUUUUUAAAAAAAUUCAAAAACCUAAAUAGUAAAUUUACAUUUUAGGGGGACCGGGACGCUGCCAGCCCCUAGAUUCGCCCCUGAUUGUGUUAUAGAAAAAUAAUUAUCAAACAUAUUUUCAUCUUUUUAUUAUUAAAAACAAUUUUUUUUCUAUUUAUGAUACGCAUCUUCUAUUUUUUAAAAUAAGAAACUAAAAAUUAUUUUUUAAAUAAUAAAAUUUUAAAAAAUAAAAUAAAAUAUUAAUUUUCAAUUAAUUUAAUCUACUCAAUAGUUUAACAAACAAACCUUACUUAUUUUUAAAUAUUGUACUAAUUUUUUUUGCAUAUUAAAAAAACAAUAAUCGCUUUUAAUCAAUAAUUACUUUUCUUUGAAUGCAAGAAUUGAGAAAAACAAUUAAUUCAUAAAAUAGAAAAUAUAUAUUUGCAAAACUACAUUUGUAAUUUCAUUUAAAAAUGAAAAAUGAUUUUAUCUAUUUUCCUUUAAGAAAAUUAUUCCAUAUAUCGUCACUAAAGCAUAGCAAAUUGUUUGUUAAAAAUUAUAAUUUUUGAGAGAGGUUAAGUCUCGAACCUUCAACAAAAGGUAUUAUUCCACUAAAGGAAUUUGUCUCUUUUAAGGAAUACAUCGGUGGAUGUAAAUGUUGAAUACAAUGUAUUAUAUAUUAUAUAAAGUAUUUUUCAAAUAAAAUAUAUAUUAUUAAAGUUUUAUAAUAUUUAUAAAAUAUACAACAAUCAUGUAUGUACAUAUAAUUUAUGUUAUUAUUAUUUGAAUUAUUAAUUGGUGUUAUUUAGGUGAAUAGAAACUCUAAUCACCAUUUCUUAUUUAUUGUUGUUAUUAUAUAAAAUAUAUAAUUUUGAUUUUGAUAACAAUUUAAUAAAUACAUAAUAAAUAAUAGAAAAUAGAUACGGAUAUAAUUAAUAAAUUUCUAAUUGUGUUAAUGUGAUUAUUACUUAAAAUAUUUUAUUAGUUAAAACAUAAUUACUGAUUAUUUAUAAAUUUAUUUUAAUAUCUUUAAUGAUAAUUUUUAAUUUUUUUAAUUAUCAUCUCAUUGUCUCUCCAUUUAAACUCAAACACAUAUAACAUUAGGUUAAAUUAUAUUUAAGGUAACUGAACUUAGUAAAUUUAUAUUGUAGUUAUUGGAUUUAAAGGCGAAUUCAGGGAGCUGGCAGGGGCCUCGCCCCUCCCUAAAAUGAAAAAAAAUACCAUUUAGGCCAUUUGAAUUUUUUAAAAUUUUAAAUUAGGAAAUGUAAAAUUGCACUUUGGCCCUCCUAAAAAUGAUAAAAUAUUUAUUUAAUCUUUUAGAAUUUAUAAAAAUAUAGGCUAUUUAAAUGGUAAAAUUGUAUUUUUACUAUCGUAAAAAUUAUAAUUUAAUUUUGGCUCCCUAUUUUUUUUCCUUCGCCCAUGAUUGGAUUAUUCAAAAGUUUUUAUUUAAGUCAUUAGGUUAUUGAGUUUUUUCUUUUUUAAAGUUUGGCUAAUGAGUUUCAAGCGAUGAUUCGCGCAGUCAGUACCCAUCAACUAGUAGAAAAACAUACAUUAGUUUUCAGUCGAUUUAAUGCCUAGUGUUAGAGAUCGAAUAAGAAAACUGUUUGAAUUUUGGUUCAUAAGUUCAUGAUGUUUAAAAUUAUUUUUAUGAAAAUAAAAAGAACUAUGAAAAUAAAAUGAAUUAGAACUUUUGAUUGAUCUCGAUGAUGAGAGCAUAAAAGGUUAUACAACAAUAAUUUUAACCGUCUAAUGACUUAAAUAAAAACUUCUGAAUAGUUAAAUGAACAUUUUAUAAUUUUUUAAAAUUGAAUAACCAAAAUAUUUUAUAAUCUACCAAAGCUAAGUCUUAUCUCCCUGAAGUUGCAGUGGAGCAGAUUGAAGUUACAAAUCUCAUCUCCUUGAAGUUAUAGUGGAGCAGAUUGAAGCGACAAAUCUUGUACCUCUGAAGUUAUAGUAGGUCGGAUUAAAUCUACCAUAGCAGGUCUUAUCUCCCUGACGUUACGGUGGAGCAGACUAAAACCACAACUCUCAUCUCCCUGAAGUUGCAGCGGAAUAGGUUAAAACUACAAAUUUUUUUAUCUCUAAAGUUGCAGUGGAGUGGAUCGAAGCUGUACAGCCCAAUAUUUCCCCAGCCCAAAACCCAAUUAAACCCAAACCCGGAGCCCAAAUUGACCCAACAAAUACAAGUCCAAAUCAGAAAAAAAACUAGCCCAAUACCUAGAAACAAAAAAAAAUGAAAAAACCCUAGCUCCUAACCCUAGCCGCCGCACCUAGGGUCCUCUAACAAGUAGGCGUCGCACGUCCCAUCACCGCUCACCUGCCCUCUGCCAUCACCGCUGUAACAACCCAAUUUUGGGUCUAGUCGAAACAGUGGUUUUGAGACCACAAAUCCGACGAGAAAAAAUGUAAUGGCCUGAGUUUUCAGAGGUGUCGGAACGGUGAUUCGAGAUCACUAAAUUCGACAAAUUGGUAGAAAAUAUUAUUAAUUUAGUGAGUAUAAGUUAAAUGUGAAGUUAGAGAAAUUUUUGAAAUAGUGAAUAGUACACUAGAAAUAAAUAUUAAAAUAAUUAGAAUCGAAAAUGAGGUAUAGAGACCUCGGGGAUUUUAAACCGAGCCAUAAAUAUUUUUAUAAAUACUUAUGUAGUGUUAAAAAGUUAGUAUUAAAGUUUCGUUAAGAAAUUUUAAAGUUCUGAUAAUUAAUUGAACAAAAAGGACUAAAUUGUAACAAAUGCAAAAUUUUGGGAAAUGAUUAAAUAGCUUAAAUGAUAAAAGGAAGAGGGCUUAAAAGGAAAAUAUACCCAAGGUCUAUUUGGGCUGGACGACAAAGGCAUGAAAUCAGCAACAAAAUAAGGAGAAUUAAGCGCAAAAUUGGAAUAUUGCAAAAUUUACUUAAUAAAGUUAGGACCAAAGUGGAAUUAUCUAGAUUUCUCUUUAUUUUUCUGCAUUCUCAUCAGCAAAAACACCAUAGAAGGUUUCCUUAAGCUGUUUCUUCCUAUUUUUACUGCAGGUAAGUUCAAUUCUUGAUUAUUUCUUGAAAAUUUUGUGUUUUUGUGACUUUUAGAACUAGGCCCACUUAUUGUAUUCAUUAGUUUUUGAUUUUAUGAAAGAAGUUGAAAGUUGUUAUGAAUACAUGCUGGAAGUAUAUGAUGAUUUAGCAUGGAAUUAGAGCUUUAAAUUGUUCAUAUGCUGAUUUUAUUGAAAGAAUUAAAUAGAAAGUGAAUGUUUGGGACCUAAUAGAAAAAGAGUUUGAAGAUAGAGUUAUAUGUGGAAAUUCUGAAUUUCAAUAAUUGUGAUACAACUUAUAAUGUCUAGGUAAAUUAUUAAUUGGGAAAAUUAGAUUAAUUGAGGGGUUAAUUGAGAAAGGACCGAAUUGUAUAAACUGUGAAAUUUGGGGCAAAAUGGAAAUCAACAUUUUGCACUAAAGCAGUUUUGGACAGCAGCAGUAGUAUAACUUUGAAAAAUCACCAAAAAAUUUGGGAAUUUAAUUAGAGGGUGAAUAAAAUAUGAAAUUAAAUCUUAUUGAGUCUAGUUUCUCAUAGAAGAAACGGUGUAAGAAAUGAAAUUGUAAAUCAUGAGAUAUAAUAAAUUUUGUGAGACAAUGUCAGAAUGAUUUCGGGUUCCCCUGUUCUUACUUUGGAAAAUCAUAAAAAAUUGAAUAAAAAUAAUAAUGAGUUAUAAUUAUAUGCUUAGAAUACUUAAUGAAUCUAUUUUCAAAGGAAAUAAACAAAAACAUCAUCAGAAUUCUGUACAAUUAGCUAAUUCAUUUUUAGUGAAGGGUGGUCGGAGCUGUCAGACAGCAUAACAGGGGAAACUUUAAAGAAUAAACCGUACUAAUUGGCUGAACCAAAAAUUUUGAAAAUUUUAUGGUAAAAAGAUAUGUGAGUCUAGUUUCAGGAAAAAUUUAUGGAUAUUAAUUUGGAGCUCUUUAUCUCUGGAUAAAAAUAAUGUAGUGACUCUGACUCAGAAGGAUAACUUGGAUUUUACAUACAAUAAAAUUGUGAAAGUAUAAAUAAUAUUGUUUAAAUGUGUUAUACACAUUAAGGAUGAGGAAUGUAGAGGAGGUGGAGAAAAAUUGGGAAAUAUAUGAAUGAUUUGUGAAUAAUUGGUCAUAUACUUGAUUAUAAUUGAUAAACGAUGAAAUAGAAAUGCUUAUAUUUGUGCAUUAUUGACCAUGGUUUAAGCUCAUGUGUGAAAAUAAAGUUUCAUAGUAUGUGUGGAUGGUAUAUUCGGUAUAUGAUUUGGCAUGAAAUAAUGUCAUGAAUGGUUUAUGAAUUAACACAUGUUGCUAAGCCUGAUACAUGAAUAAAUGUUGUGCUCAUCCAUGCUUAUAAUGUUUAUGCUAUAAGUGUAUUUGGCUAACAUAUUUGGUAUACAUGCUUAGGCUUUGGCCAAGUAGUGACUAGACUAUGCCACGUUAAAUUUAUAAGUUAUGCAUUGAUAUGGUUUAUUAUGUGGUUAGACCCAAAAAGAGUUAUGUUUAAAUACAUUAGCUUGCGACUAUGGUUGAAUGAUAUGUUUAUAUCUUGUGUGAUGUGCAUAGAAAACGAGUGUGGAAAGAUAAUGAAAAGUAAGUUCAUAUGGCUGAACUUUUAUGAUUAAUUGUUAAUGUGGGAAUGAUAUAAUGUAUCAAUUCGUAUAUUGUUGUUGAAUUAUGAUUAUGGUAAAAAUAAGAAUAAAAUGAGAUUGUUAGUUCAAAUUAAGGGAUACGCAGGAUUGAGUACAUACGUUCGGUAACCUGUGAUGAUGAAUUGACAAAUAAGUCCAUGGUGGAUCCAUGGCAAAGUGUGAAACAUAGGUAUGGUAUUUCAGUGAAGAAAACCAUACUGAGUUGUGAAAAGUAGGUAUGGUAUUUCGGUAAAGAAAACCAUACUGAGUUGUGAAAAGUAGGUAUGGUAUUCCGGUAAAGAAAACCAUACUGAGUUGUGAAAAAUAGGUAUGGUAUUUCGGUAAAGAAAACCAUACUGAGUUGUGAAAAGUAUGUAUGGUAUUUUGGUAAGAAAACCAUACUGAGUUGUGAAAAGUAGGUAUGGUGUUUCGGUGAAGAAAACCAUACUGAGUUGUGAAAAGUAGGUAUGGUAUUUCCGUUAAGAAAACCAUACUGAGUUAUAGCAAUGUGAAAUAUUCAAGCAAAUCAUGGCACCAAGCAAACGAUAUACUCAAAUCCGUAAGACGAUCCUUAAUUUGACAAGUAUUUGUAGUACAAUUGAAGCUAAAUGUUGGAAUAUAAGUUGACAUCUAAUAUUGAGCUAGAUUGGAUAAAUUCAUUAUUUGAGAUUGUGGUUGGCCGGAAAUGUUACAUUAUAUAUAUUAUGAAGAAUUAUAAAAGCAUGUUAAUAAUUUUCAAAGUUUUAAUUUAGAUGAAAUUUUAUAACUCGGUUAAAUACGUCUUCAAGUGUAUGUGUUUUGGUAAUGCCUCGUACCCUAUUCCGAUGUUGGAUAUGGGUAAGGGGUGUUACAACCGCCACUGCUCCACCGCCUUCAAGUGGCCUGCAAGAAAUGACAAAAAUAAUACAAAAAUGUUGUAAAAAAAAGGCUAUAAAAGCCAUUGAAAAUCUGUAAUGGGAGGUUCUUUUCCCUUUUGAUGAACAAAAAAAUAAAAACAUAACACUUUCAAACAAGGAUUCAAGCAAAUCAGCAAAAAAAAAGAGAUAAAAAACAAGGGCAAUACGAAAGGUCCUUCUUUUUAUUAUUAUUAUUUUUUCUCUCUUUGUUUUCGGUUUUGGACUGUUUGUAUUAGAAAUUUCUUUUAUUUUUCUUUUAUUUUUAAACUAUAUAUAUAACAUAUAGAAGUAAAAAAAAUUACCUUUGAAUUUUCCACGGUGGCCGGUGCAACGGCGUCGACGGCGGUUCUCCUCACCGGAUCUGGGCAGUGCUGGAGAGGGGCAGAGGAAAUUUGAGAGCUUUUGUCUGUUUUAUUUUGAGAAAGAAGGAGAAAUGAAAAAUUUUGAAAAAAAUUUGGCUCAAAUAGGCUUCCAAAACGAUGUCGUUUUGGCCAGCCUUCUUAGGUACCAAAAUGGCGCCGUUUUAGGGCCGAUCCACGUGCGACCCGACUCGCUCCAGGGGGAUCUGCGUGUUUUCCAUGGAAGGGCUAAUUGCACUUUUAGCCCUUCCACUUUUUUAAUGUUUUCCAAUCAAGUACUUUUAGUUUUUUUAAAAUUUUUACCUCGGAUUGUUUUUGCAUUUUCAAUUUAGUCCCUACUGAACUCCGCAUUUUGCAAGAAUGGGAUUAUUUCCCAUUUGCCCCCUCCUAGUUUUUCGCGUGUACAUUUUGGUCUUUUUUCCCUCUUAUUUAUUUUGAAUUUGCCCCGAAAUUUUGUUUUUAGCUCAAUUUAAUCCCUUUUUUCAUAUCUUUGCUAUUUUAUCGUUAUUUUCAUUAUUAGUAGUAUUAUUAUUUAUAUUAUUAAUAUUAAUAUUAUUAUUAAUGUUAUCAUUACUAUACUAUUAUUACUAUUAUUGUUAUUAUUAUUAUUCACUUAUUUAUACUUUUUUUUAACUUCAAAUUUUGUUAUCUAUAUAUACACUUGUAUAUAUAUUUUUAUAAUAUACAUACUUUUUAUAAUACAUAUACACGUACAUAUUUCUAACUUUUGUAAAUAUAUAUACACAUAUUUUUAUAUAUAUAUUUAUUUAUUUAUUUUUAUUUUCAUAAUUUUUAUAUAUAUUUAUAUACAUAUAUACAUACGUGCGUUUUUAUAACAUAUAUAUACUUGCACAUUCUUUAUAUUUUAUAACUCAUAUGCAUGUCUAUAUAUCUAUGUACGUAUCCUAUUUUCAUAUACAUAAAUACAUACUUUUGUAUGCCUUCCAUAAUUUUUACAUACAUGCAUGUACAUAUACAUAUUUUAAUUUACAUACGUAUAUAUGUAUAUGCUUACAUAUAUAUAUUUUAUAUAAUAAUUUUAAAUAUGUACAUACAUAUAUUUUCUAUAUUUCCAUAAUUUUAUGUAUAUACACAUAUAAAUAUCUUUUAUAUUUUUUAUAGUUUUAUACAUUUUCUUUGUUUAUUUCUUAAUUUAAAUUCUCAUCAUUUGUUUUGAAUUUUAUUGCUUAUAUGUUUGCGAUUGUGUAGUAUAUUAGUUUGUCUUUGUAUUUAUUUUAUGUUAUUUUGUAGCCCUUGCUCGUAUUAUUUUGCUUACAUCAUCAUAAUUAUCAUUCCAUUACGUCAAUUUUUACCCAGAUUCAAAAAAAAAUUUUAAAAAUAUAAGUAAUACUCGAUAUUUGGGAUCUUCGAGAGAAUCGAGCCCUAACGUAUUGGGUUCCGAUUUUCUUCGUUGAAUCUAAAUAAUCAAGAUUACUCUUUUAAAAAAUGUAUAAUAAAAAACUCAUUAUCGGGAAUUCCAUACGUUGUGUCCUAACGCAUUGGAUAUGACAUGUUGUUUUCCCGAGAUGAGAAUUUUUUCUAAAAAAUAAUAAAGGCAGUAUUUUGCAUUUAGAUUUGAGAAAGUCAUGCCCUAACUUACUGGUUUUGAUUUUCACAAUAAAUCUAAAUACGUGAAUCUUUUCAAAGUCAAGUUUUAGACGAUCUCGGGAAUUAAAAAAGAUCGUGUCCUAACUUACUGGUCGUGAUCUCUUUUUUAAAUCCGAGAUAACUAAAUAUCUUUUUAAUAAGUACAUUUUUGGCAUUCAUUCGCGUAUCGGGAAUUCGAGACAUUGUGUCCUAACUUACUGGAUAUGAUGCAUUUUUCUCGAUUAACGUGAAAUAUGCUUCUUUUCCCAAAAAUGUUCAACAUUUUACUACAAGGAUCGUAUUUUUAAAAUUCUUCAAAGUUUUCAUUUUUGACAUUAAGACAUUAACUAAUCAACUAGGUACCAAUUUUUGGGCGUUACGAGUGUGCUAAUCCUUCCUCGUACGUAACCGACUCCCGAACCCAUUUUUCUGAAUUUCGUGGACCAAUAUCGUUGUUUUAAUAAAAUCAAAUUGUUUAUUAAAAACGACCACUUUUCAAGGUGAUCCGAUCACACCUUAUUAAAAAGGAUUGGUGGCGACUCCCGUUUUCGUUUUCAUUUUCAAAACUCAAGUUGACCCAUUUUAUCAAAAAAUGGUGUCAACAGAAGCAACAGGAUGCAGUGGACUAAAAUAAGGCUACUUGAAGAAAAUAAGCACCAAAAAGUCAAAAUUCGACAAGACCAGACAAAAUUGAUUUAACACCUCAAACCCAGCCUAAACAUUAAGGCCGAAUCUGGUGAUGUCACAUUGUAACACCUCUUACCCGUACUCAACGCUGGAAUAGGGUACGAGGCAUUACUAGAAUAAAUACACUUAUAGACAUAUUAAACCGAGUUAUAAAAUUUCAUUCAAAUUUAAACUCUUCAAAUUUUUAACAUGCUUUUAUAAAUAUUCACGUUAUAACUUCAAAAUACUAUAUUUGUAUCCUCAAAAUAUUAUAUUCAUAAUAAAUAGGGUCUGCUAGACCCGAUACUUCAUUUCCAUUUCAUUUAAUUCAAAUCAUAUCAUAAUUCACAUACAGUUCAAUUUCAUUAAGUUCAAUACUAAUACAUAUUUAUCGUUUAACUUAACGUACCUUUUUUGCGUCAUUUUACACUUCAAGCAUGAACUUAGUAUUUCGUUUCCUUUCCACUCCCGUUUCCUAUGCAUACCACACAAGAUAUAAACAUUACACUCAACCAUAGUCGCAAACUAGUCUUUUUGAAGACUAACCACAUGAUAAAUUAACCAUUUUAACAAAGAUUACAAACUUUAACAAAGAUUACAAACUUUAAACCUUACCACCCUUUUAUGAUCACAAGCAUAUUUCCAUCUAGACAUUUACCAUUUCAAUGCAUAAUUUUAUAAAUUUAAUGUGGCGUAAUCCAACCACAACUUGGCCAAAGCCUAAGCAUACACACCAAACAUGCUAGCCAAAUAAACAUAUAGUAUAAGCAUUAUAGGCAUCAUUUCUAUUUCAUCAUCUAUCAAUUAUAAUCGGGCAUAUGACCAAUUAUACUCAAAUCAUUCAUAUAUUUCCCAAUUUUCCUCCUCCUCUUCUCCAUCCCACAUCCUUUAUGUAUAUAACAUGCUUAAAUAGCAUUAUGCGUAAUUUUACUAUUCACUUAUAUUCAAAUUCAAAGCUGUCUAUUUGAGUCAGAGUCACUAAAUCAUUUUUAUCUAGAGCUACAGAGCUCCAAAUUAAGAUCCCUUAAUUUUUUCCGAAACUAGACUCAUAUAUCUUUUUACCAUAAAAUUUUCAGAAUUUUUGGCUUGGCCAAUUAGUACAGUUUAUUCUUUAAAAUCACCACUAUUUCACUUCUCAACAUCUCUGACCUCUCUUCACUAAAAAUGAAUUAUCUCAUUGUACAAAUUUUGGAUGGUUCUCUCGUUUAUUUCUCUUAAAAAUAGACUCAUUGAGGAAUUUAAGCAUGUAAACUAAAAACCAUAAUUAUUUUUUUAAAAUUUAUAGUUAUUUUUCCAAAGUUGAAAUAGGGGAUUUCGAAAUCAUUCUAAUACUGUCUUACUAAAAUUUAAAUAUCUCAUAAUUUAUAACUCUUUUCUUAAUCUAUUUCUUCCAUAUGAAAAUAGACUCAAUAACCUUGAAUUUCAUAUUUUAUUCAACAUUUAAUUCACUUUCCACUAUUUUUGGUGAUUUUCCAAAGUGAUACCAUUGCAUGCUAUCCAUACAAUUUUUAUUGCUAAUUUUAUUCAAUCAUGUUUUCUUUGCAUUAAUUCUCACUUACACUCUCAUAACACUAAAGUAUAUUCAUAAUAGCCAUGCCAAUAGCUAUUCAUCAUCAAUUAUUUACAAAUCUUCGUUGUUUUAACACUUGUUCCAUAUCAACUUCACUCAAGUUUGACCACAUAUCACGCACAUUGCCCACCACAUAUUCACAUUCAUUUCCACUUAAUCAUUUUCCGGUUGAACACUUAAGAAUAUUAUUGGAUACGUCAGAAAUUUGCACAUAAGUGCCACACUUGUAGCAAAAGCAACUUCACAUCAUUUUUCACUUUAGCUCGUUCUCGAGCUAUUCACUUUCUCAGGUCUGCUCACACAAGCUGUCAGUCUUUUGUUACUACUCAGUGCUGCACUAUUGCUUACAUAAGCUGUCAGGUAUCUGCAACAUAUGCCGGUAUACCCAGCCACUGGUAGAACUUAAGACCAACACCCGAGUUCACAUUAAUCACAGUUUCGCAUCACGACCUACUCACACAAGCUGUCAGUCAUUCGUUACUACUCAGUGCUGCUCACACAAGCUAUCAGGUAUCCGCAACAUAUGCCGGUAUACCCAGCCACUGGUAGAACUUAUGACCAACGCCCAGAUCCACUUUAUUCACAAUUCCACAUAGAUCUCUAAUGACAUGCCACUUGUAUCCCAUUAUAUUCCUAAGGUUCAACCGAGAAAAUUUCCCACACUUCAUUAUUUUGUAAAUUUUUAUUCGAUAUUCAAUCACAUAUAUCAUAAAAUAUAUCUUUCAUCCACAUAUCAUAAAAUAUGUCAGAACAUAAAAUCAUAAAUAAAAAUUGAUGCAUUAUUUACAUAAAAAACUUACUUUUGUGCAACAAUAUAGAAAUUUAGAAAUUUAGUCUUUAAUCUUUUCUUUUCUCUAAUCAAGGUCGAUUCCACUUCUUUCUUGAUCUAUAAUAACAUAUUUAGUUUAUAUAACAUUCACAUUAUUCAAUCCAUUCCAAAAAUCACAUUUUGGAAAAAUUACAUUUUUACCCUAAAGUUUAACAAAAUUACGAUUUUGCUCCUAGGCUCAGAAAUUAAACUUUAUUCCUUUUUCUUAUGUUUUAUAACAUGCUGAACAUUUUUAUCUUCUAUAGCAACAUCAAAUUCUUGCUAUAACAUGCACUUAUGAACAAUAAUAAUUUUUACCGAUUAUGUCGUUUCACUUGUUUUCACUGAAAAUCGCUUAGUAAAAAUUGUUUAACACAAUUUCAAGCUUCAUAUUCUACCAUAAAACAUCAAAAUAAACACAUUUCACCUAUGGGUAUUUUUCCAAAUAUAAACCCUAGGUUAAAUUAUUGCUAGAAUAAGCUAAAUUAAGCUACCGGGACUUCAAAAACGUAAAGAACAUUAAAAACAGGGUUUAGAAUCACUUACUAUGGAGCUUGGAAGCUUGAAAACCCUAACCAUGGCUUUCCCCUUGCUAUUUUCGUUCAUCAUGGAGAACAUGGACAAAUUUUUGGCUAUUUUGGUCUUUUAAAUUCUUUUAAUUACUAAUUGACCAAAAUGCCCCAACUUAAAAAUAUCCUAUUUCACUUAUCUCUUGUCUAUUUUUGUCCAACAAGUUAACCAAUGGUCUAAUUACCAUUUGAGGACCUCCAAUUUAAAAUUUCAUAACAAUUGGAUACUUCUAACAAGUAGAACUCAACUUUUGCACUUUUUACAAUUUAGUCCUUUUGGCUAAAUUGAGUGCCCAAAUGUCGAAAUUUUUGAACAAAUCUUUUUAAAAAACCAUUCCGUGAAAUUGUAGACCAUAAAAAUAUAAUAAAAAUAAAAUUUUUCUCGUCGAAUUUGUGGUCCCGAAACCACUGUUCCGACUAGGCCUAAAAUCAAGCUAUUACAAUUGGUCCUUUUAAGGUAUUUUCUCUGUUUUCGUUACAAUACAACAAGUAAAGAAGGGAAUCUGUAAUAGGUCAAUUUUGGCCUGGGCCCAGAUCAAAAAUAAAAAAAAAACAAACCCAAAUAAAUAAAAGUCCAAAAAGAUUAAUAAUCCAUUACAAUGAAUAAAAGCCUACCACCCAAUUACCAGCCCAAAACAAAAAGCAAGCCCAAUCAAACUAGUCCACUACUCAAUCAAAUAACCAAAACUAAAACCUAAUAGCCCAAAAUUAACCUAGCCCAAUUAGCCCAACAUCUAAACAAAACAAAAACCCUAGCCUCCUAAGGCUCCAACUCUGCAUGUCAGAACCACCUACGCUACACACCAUCGCCGCUCGAGGCUCGCCUGUACGUUUUGAAUCCCACCGCCGCGAGUAGAGGAGGUCAUUGUUCCCAAUGAUGGACGGUUAUCUUUGGUAAAACGGAAGAAAAACCGAAGGGAUUCUUUUGGGUCAAGUUUUUACAAAAAAAAAGCCCUAGAUCUGGGCUUUACGCGUCAGAGCGCUCAAAACGGGAGUUUUUGGUGAACUACGGCCACCGUGGAUGGUGACCGCCAUCGUCGGCUGAUCGCCACGGCGGUGUUUGAUGAUCGGACCUAGUGGCUUUGAAAGAAAGGGGAAAGAGCUUUUAGAGUUUUUUUUAAACAAGGUUAAAAUGAAAGUUUUUGAAAAAAUUUUGAUUUAAAUAGCAGUUGUGAAACGACGCCAUUUCACUUAGGCCCUUUAAUGCCAAAACGAUGUCGCUUUCGGGGGCCGACCCGAGACCCGACCCGCGCGGCUAGGAUCCGUGUGUUUUCUAGCCCCUGGGAUUAUUUUCGCGGUCGAUCCUUCUGCUUUUUUUGCUCAUUGUCAAUUUAAUCCUUUUUUAUUUUUAAUUUUACCUUGUGAUUUUUGCAUUGUUUCAUUUUAGUCCAUAUUAGAACUGUGCGUUUUGAAAGACAGGGAAUAUUUUCCCUUUUGGUCCCUCCCUUUUAUUUGCUCAUUACGAUUAGGUCCUUCACCUCAUUUCAAUUCUCGAUUCCUCCCCUAAAAUUUUGUUUGGCUUUCAAUUUCAAUCCUUAUUUUCUUUUGUUUUAUUUUUUAAAUACUUUUGCAUUUUUAUAUUUUAUAUUUUUAUUAUUUAAAUUUCUACUUUUAAGUUCAAUUUAAUCUUGAUUUAAUCAUUAAUCUAUUUUAUUUCCACCUUUCCACAAACUUUUUAUUUUAUUUUAUUUUAUUUAUUUAUCAUUUCUUCUUCCUUUUACAUUAAAAAAAUAGAUUAUUAGUACUCUAUUUUUAAUGGUGCGUUUUUAUUAUUGUUGUUAUUAUUUCAAAUAUCUUAAUGUUAUGUUUAUUUAUCUUUUUUAAAUUGUGCAUUUUCCAUUUCCAUUUUUUAUUUUAAGUUACUUUAUUUAUCUUAUUAUUGCGAUCUGGUUAUUAAUAUUAUUACUAAUAAUCAAUUCAUGUCACAUUAAUUUUUACUCGAAACAGAAAAAGGAAAUUUUCAAAAUUAAGGCAAUGUUCCGUAUUUGGAAAUCUGAGAAGUCGUGCCCUAACUUACGGGAUUCGACUUUCUAUUUGAACCAAGACAACCUAAUAUUUUUUUAAAGCAUAUAGGAUUUUAAUUAAAAAAUAUAUUUUUAGGAAUUAAGAAAAGUCGUAUUCCUAACUUACAGAAUAUGGCUUCUUUCUAAAACCGAGAUAAUUAAAUAUUUUAAAAAAAUAUUUUUUUCCAUGUUUAUUCUCGUUUUGAGAAUUUAAGGCAUUGUCUCCUAACAUACGUGAUGUGAUUAUUUUUCUCGAUUAACUCAAAAUAAAUCCAUUUUCGUGUUAAAUAAUAAAAGAUCAUAUCUUAAAUCUCUUCAAAUUUUAAAUUUUCGACACUAAAGACGCCAAGUAAUCAACUAGGUACCAAUUUUGGGUUUAUCAGUGGUGCUAAUCCUUCCCCAUGCGUAACCGACUCCAGAACUAGUCUUCUGGAUUUUUUAGACCAAAAAUCAUCAUUUUAAUAAAUUUAAACUUGUAUUAAAAUGAUUAAAUUAUGAGGUGAUCCGGUCACACCUAAAUAAAAAAGAUUGGUGGCGACUCCCAUUUUCAUUUUUAAAAUAUAAAGUCGACCUUUCAAAAAAAGGGGUUUCGACAGUAAAUAUCUUCUUCUUUUUUUCACAUGGAUAACAAGCGAGUUUCUUUCUUUAUUUCUUUCUUUUUUAAUUUCAAAAUGUCAAUUAGUAAAUUUAAUAGAAGAAUUCUUACUGUAAUAAUUAGACCCGAUUUUUUAAAUUUAGAAAGUAAAGAAAUUGUACGGGCCCAAUUUUACCCGGGCCUUAAACACCAAACAAACAGCCCACAUAAACAAAAAUUAAUAAACAGUCCAUGACCCAAAACCCAAAUUACACCCGGGGCCCAUUACAAGCAAACCCAAAUAAAACCCAAACCCGAAUGGCCCAAUACCCUUCAGCCCAAACCAAUACCCAAGCCCGAAAACCAAAGUCAACUUAGGGUUUCAGUGUCUGAAACCCUAAGCGCCGCCUGCUUCAGACCUUUGGUCUUCUGCCGCCACCACCGCGCGUCUGUCACCGCCACUGUCGUCCGUCAAUCAUCUACAGGAAAUAUACACGCAAACAACAAAUAACACAGCAAAAAUAGCAUAAAAAUAUAAAGGAAAUCGGCUAUAAAAGGCCGGAUUUCCCCCCUGUAUUUCUUCUUCUUUUUUCACGAGAUCAAUACAAAAAAGCAGAUUAAAGAAAUAGAAAGGUUGAUCCCAAAGUUUUUCUUUCUUGUUCUGUUAUUGUGCAUUUCCUUUCACUGUUAUUAGUAUUUUUUUUACUUAUUUUCUUUAUUCUUUUAAACUAAAAGAAAGUGAAAAGAAAAAGGGGGAGAGGGUACCUACCUGUCUCGAAAGCCCGUCGCCAAAGACCCUAUUCGGUGUUGGAAUCGGACGAAAAGGGGUGCGAAGGACCCCUCCUUUUUCAUCUUUUUUAGACCAACAGGGCCUGGUUUUCGUGUGUGCUGUGAAUCGGGGCUGAAAAGCUUUUUUUUUUGCGCAACGCCAGCCACCGCUCACGGUGGCGCUACGGCGGUGGCGCUACAGCCGAUUGCCAUGGCCGGUUAGAGGCCUGAGAGAGAGAGCUUGGCUCUCUGUUUUUUUUAAGAAGGAUGAAACUAAAAUUUUUUUGGUUUUUUUAUAUAUAUUUAUACUGAGCUCGAAACAGCGCUGUUUAAGCCCCUGUGACCCGCGUGCGAUCCUACCCGCUCCAGGGGGGAUCCGCGUGUUUUCAUGAAAUGGGCUAUUUGUGCCUUUGGUCCCCCCAUCAUUAAUUUGUUUUGUUUUAAUUCUUCUGCUUGUUUGUUUUUUAAUUUGACCUCGUGUUUUUACACCUAUUUCAUUUCAGUCCUGCAUGAAACGGUGCGCUCUAAUGGACUGGGGAUAAUUUCCCAUAUAGUCCUCGCGUUUCUGCAGCGCGUUACAAUUUGCCUCUCUUUUAGUUUUUUUUCUUUUAUUUCAAUUUGACCGUUUAACUUUUUUUUGUUCCAUUUUAGUCCUGUGAAGUGCUGCGUUUUGGGAGAUGGGGAUAUUUUCCCCUUUAGUCCUUCCUUGUUAUUCGCACACUCAAUUCGGUCCUUUCCUUUUAAAUUAUUUACAUAUCUGCCCCCCGAAUUCCUGUUUCAAAACCAAAUUAGUCUUUUUUUUAUCUAUUCACCCAUUUUAUUAUAAUUUAGACUUCAAAAUUUAUUUUAACUUCAAUUUGACCCUCUGUUCGUUUAAUUCCAAGUUAUUUUGUUUAUUUAUUCUUUUUGUUUUGUUUUAUUUAGUUAUUUAUUUAUUCUUGCAUUUAUUUAUUUCUUCAUUUCCCUUGUAUGAUUAGUUUAUCAUAUUGUUUAUUCCUCUACUUACACUAUAUUAUUAUUGUUGUUUAUUGCUAUCAUUCUUAUUAAUGAUUAAUUCAUUUUUAUAUUUCUAUUAUUAGAAUAAACAACUAAUACGGUUAUUGUUAUUAUUGGAUGAUUAUUGUUAUAAUUAUGUCAAUAUUAUUUUAUGCUUUAUGAUUUAUUAUUUAUUUUUUUUAUAUCUACUAAUAAAGUUAUUUCAUGUUACAUUAUUAUUGUACUUUGUAUUGUAUAAAAUAAAUGUUAGUCUUUAUACUAUACUUGCAUAAAUUAAACUUACAUCUCAUCAAAUAUUAUGUUAAUUCAUACUCAAAAAGAAAAAUUUUCAAAAUAAAGCAACAUGUUGUAUUUAGAAAUUCAAGAAAGUCGUACCCUAACUUACGGGGUUUCAAUUUUCUCGAAAACUCGAAUACACGAAUCGUUUCAAUCAAAACUUUUAAAUAUUAUCGAGAAUUUAUAAAAGAUCGUGUUCUAACUUACGGGACAUGAUCUCUUUUAAUAAAACCCGAAAUAAUUGAGCUUUUCCAAAAAUAAUUUUUUUGGGCAUUUAUUCUCACAUCUGGAAUUUUUGAUAUUGUGUCCUAACUUACGGAACGUGAUUUCUUUUUCUCGAAUGACGUGAAAAUAUGCCUUUCUCUCUAACUUAUACAAGUUUUUAUACAAGGAUUGUAUCUUUAAAAAUUUUUCAAAUUUUUCAUUUUCGACAUUAGGACAUUAAAACAUUUUAAUCUGCAACACAUGUAAAUGAAUAUUAUUGGGUUUUAAAUUAUUAUUUUUUUAAGAAAAAUCGAAUCGAAUCGAAAUUGGGAAAAGAAAUUGGUGUUCUUUACAUAUCCUUAACUUCAUGGGUGAUUAGGGAGGUGGCCCGAUUGAUAGAGAUUAGGUCGAUUUUGGAUGGUUUAGAGCCGGACCAUUAUGCAUUAUUAAAUUCUCAAAGCCCCACAUUCAAAUUUGUUGAGCUAAUAUGACAUAAAAUAAAUGAUGGAGCACAAAAAAAUUUAUAAUAAGAAAAUUCAUUUAUAUAAAUUAGAAAGUUUGUGGAAAUCACAAAUUUAAAGCGAAAAGAUUAAAAUAUCUUCAAAUAAUAUUAUUUACUUUAAUUAUGGAAUGAUAUUUUCGUAAUAUUUUAACCGAAUUGAUACCCAGUUAAUUCAUGACACUAAAUUAAUUAAAAAUUUAUAUAUAUAUACAAAUACGAUCAAAACACUUCAAUUUAUUAAAUUCAUCUCUAUUUUAUAAAAAAGUUUAAAAAAUUAAUCCAUUUAUUGAUAAAUACAGGAAUUCGAUUUUUGUGUAUUUAAAUAAAUUAACUAUUUUUGUCCGUAAAAAACUCAAUUUUUAGAUCUUUUAAUUCUAAUUUUUCAGAACCCAUAUUUUACUCUAAUUUAAACCUUUUAGGAAUAUAUUUAAAAAAAAUUCCUUUUUGAGGAAAGAUGGAGUGAAAAGGAUAGAUUAUUCAACUUUGCUUAUAUUUGGAAUUAUAUAUGAAAUUAAUUGGGGAAAGCUCAAAAAAUAAAAAUUAAAAAAGGCAAUUCGUUAAAUUUAUUAAAUAAAUCACUUUUAUGAUUAAAAAGACUAGUUUCAUUCAUAUAUGUCCACAUAUCACACAGUAGUGUUGAGAGUCGUUUGGAAAAAAUCCAAAAAUUAGAGAAAAAAAAAUAAAGGGUUCUCCUAUAUGUUUUUGGUAGAGUUUGGAGACAUGAGCAGGUAUCUUAAUAGAAUUUAAUCAUAUAUAAAUAUAUAUAUAUAUAUAUAUAUAUAUAUUUGAGUGAGUCUCAUAAUAGAGGAAACAAUUAGACAUACAUGUAGGGGUAACGCUAGGGGUUGCAACCCCCUUCAACGAGGAAUUUUCUCUUUAAAUAUUUUAGAAUAUGUAAAUGUUAAAUUAAUAUAUUAACUAUACUAUUAGUCAUCAAACUAUACGAGUAAUUUAAUUUUCGUCAAGUAAUUAAUGGUAGACUAAUUGCCUAUACUAACUGUAACAACCUAUUUUUUAGUGGUGUUGAAAAUAAUGACUUCAGGGCUAUAAAUUUGACAAGUAUAUUCGUAAAUAUUAUUAUAUAAUAUUAAAAUCCACAUAUCACAAAACAAAUAAAAAAACAAAAAAAACUCGGAUAAACAAAAUUAAAAUCCACCCUUCGUAGAUUUUUAUGUGUUUAGUCCUUUCAUGAGAAAUAGGAUUUGGUGCUAUCUGUAAAGCCAUCUGGUUGUCAAAAUGCAGUCGCACAGUUUUCUUCAUUUUAACUCCUAUUUUCUUGAUUAAUCCUAUUAUCCAUACUACUUCUGCUAUUGUUAUUUCCAUCUAGAAAGAAACAAGAGCAUCUCCUAUUUUAAAGCAAAAACCUGAAGUUGACCUUCUUGUCAUAGGACAUGCAGCCCAACCUGAAUCACUGUAAGUUUCUAAUUGCAGGAUGCCUUUUGCAAACAACAAUAUCGCUUGUCAUAAAUCCUUUUUAAUAUACUCGACUAUGCUAAGUACAUCUUCAUAGUGGAACUUCUUUGGCUGCUGCAUAAACUAACUAAGAUAUUGAACCGAAUAGUUUAUGUUUGGUCUAGUAAUAGUUAAAUAAAGUAACUUUUAAUGAGUCUUUUAUAUGCAGCUGUAUCUUGAUUUAAUGGUUAAAUUAAUAAUUUUAGUAAUAAAAGGAUCUGAUUGGUAUAACAUCGAUAAUUAAAUAAUAUAAUUAAAAUAUUUUGAAGAUAAUUAGUACAAUUAACUAAAACAAAUAAUUUAAUACAGAAAUUAAACAAUAUAAUAAAAAAUUCGAGAUUCAUAAAUCAUAACAAAUUUGGAAGAAACAGAUUUGGUGGAUUCAUAAAUAUCAUUAUUGAUUUUUUUAUUUUUAAAAUGUAUUAUUUAUACAAUAUUAAAGAAGGGUUAAAGAAUAAUAAAAUUUGAAAUAUAUAGUUUUGAUUUUGAUAAUAAUCAAAUAAAUACAUCAUAAAACUUAAGUAAAUAAUUAUUAGACUACCAUAAAUAAUUAUCAGGCAUGUCAAAAUUUAGUACUUUAGUAAAUAAUAUUUAGAUUAUUUAAAAAUAAAUAUAUUUAUUAAAGAAAUUAAGGUUUAAAUUUUAAUUUUGUGGAUUUUUAUUGAGUUUAGAUAAAAAGAUAAAAACAUAUUUAAAAUAAUGUAAAUAUAAUAUAUUUUAUGAUUUUAAAAGAUAUGAUUAUGAUAUCACACAAUUUCUAUUUUUUUCUUUGUCUUUUUUUAGCAAUAAAUUGGUGACACCGGUGUUAUUUUAUUACGGUCUCAGUCUACUAGUGUCGAAGAAACAAAGCUUAUUAUCAGAGAGAAGCAGCGUUGCCGGAAAAUGGCUUGCCUCAAUGCCCGACGAUCUCUAUCCACCCUUUUAAGCCGCGCCCUCACUGCUUCUUCUUCUUCUUCCUUUCCUUCCCGUUCUCGCCUCACUGUUGCACUCCUCAACAAAACCCCAGUUUUUAUCCCCGAAGCAACCAAAAUCCUGACCCGAACCAAGACAUCCGGGUCCGGCUACUCGCCUUUGAACGACCCAUCUCCUAACAGUAGUAGCCCACGACCAUCGGUUCUCCUAGAUGACAGUUCUUAUGAGCAUUGGCUUAUCAUUUUGGAAUUCCCAGAAUGCCCGAAACCUUUGGAAGAAGAAAUGAUCGAUGCCUAUGUUAAAACCCUCGCUUCUGUUGUCGGCAGGUUUUUAAAUUAUAAUUAUUCCUUCAAAUUUCAUUAAAUCUGGGUUUUAUUUUCUUUUUUGUUUGUCUGAUCUUGUAGUGAAGAGGAAGCGAAAAAGAGAAUAUACUCUGUUUGUACAACGAGGUAUACUGGGUUUCGUGCUUUUUUCUCUGAGCAUUUGGUCGAAAAACUUGGAGGUAAUAUCAUUUCCCAUUUACUAGGGUUUAGGGUUUACAUGGUUUUCCCUUUUUCUAGUGUAAUUGGAACAAGAAACGGGUUUCUUGAAACAGUGGGUUUUCAGAAAGAAGAAAGAAUUAACAUUGGUUUUCAUUGUGUGUGAUGUGUUGCUAGCUGUUUUAGGGUUUUAAACCUCCCGAUGUGAUUGCUUUCUAUACUAAUUUAUUAGGGUUUAAAUGGUUUUCCCCAAUUGCUUUUGUGAGUGUUUUUGAACUUACAAUUGAUGAGGCAUCCACUUUGUUCUAAAAUCAAUUGGCAUUAUGUUUCUACAGUGUUACCUCGUGUACGCUGGGUUUUACCAGUUCGGUAUUGUAGCCGAGAUCAUUAUUAUGCAGGUGGGUAGUUUAAAGAUGAAGUUUGCUGCUUACAGCCAUUGAAGUUCUCAUUGUCAACAAAUUUAAUCUUUUUUUUAUUGGUGGAUUGAUUGCCAGGGGAUCUGUUUGUUGAUGGGAAAGUCUUUCAUAGACCGCAAUUUCCAUGGGUUGGUGUUCCAAAUAGCAGCCACAGAGUUGGAGGAUGUGGUGAUCAUGAGCUUUGGCUUAUCACUUUCGAAUUCCGGGAAGAACCUUCCUUAGAAGAAAAGAUUGAUUUCUAUGUCAAAACCCUCGCUUCUGUUGUCGGCAGGUUUUUGAUUCUUUCAAAUUUGCGUUUUCUUUCCUGGAAUUUGAGAAAUGGGUUUUAUUUUUCUUUUUUGUUUGUAGUGAAGAGGAAGCGAAAAGGAGAAUAUACGCCGUUGGUGGUAGACUAACGGUGUAUACUGGGUUUCGUGCUGUUAUGUCUGAGGAGAUGGCUUAUGAACUUGAAGGUAAUUGCAUUUCUCAUUUAUUAGGGUUUACAUGUGUUCUCAUUUAUUAGGGUUCAGUGUUUGGAAUUGGCGUUAUGUUUGUAUAGGGUUUCCUCUUGUAAAAGGCAUUUAUCGGGAUUCACAGGACGAAUAUGAUGAAGAUUUUGAUGGAGGUGGGUAGUUUAAAGAAUUCAAGAUGAUGUUUGUUGCUUACUGCCAUUGUCAACAAAUUUAAUCUCCUUUUUCUUAUUAGGGCAUUUGCUUGUUGAUGGGAAAGUCGUUCUUAGACCAACCUCUUUUAGCAAGAAGAGGUGCCUGACGCGAUCAGUUCGUUUGGUGGUGAACCAAGUAUUAAACGAUAUUUAUAUUCGUAAAAUGGAUGAAACCGAAACCGAGGGCUAGGACCAGAUCUUUUCUGAUUUGGUGGAUUCAUAGAUCUCUUUAUUUUUUUUUAAUUUAUGUGUUCAAUAUUAGAAGAGUCAUAAUUAUUUGAAUUAUUAAUUCGUGUAAUCUCCAUUCCUAAUGAAUACUUGUUGUUAUUAUUUAAAAUAUAUACGUUUGGUUAUUUAUAAAUCUAUUCUAAUAUCUUUAAUCAUCAUCUCAUUGUAGUCUAAAUUAUUGGUAAUUUAUGUUUUAAUUUCUGAAUUAUUCCCGCCAACAUUGGGGAGGACGACAAAGUCUUCUACAGUAUCAAAAUCCCAUGGAUCCUUAUCACCCCAUACUUUUUAAUUUUUUUUUUCCAAAUGAAUGAUAGUAUAAAUAUAUUAUUGGAAGGAUAUUUAAAGCGAAAAGAUUAAAAUAUCUUCAAAUAAUAUUAUUUACUUUAAUUAUGGAAGGAUAUUUUCGUAAUAUUUUAACCGAAUUGAUAUUCAGUUAAUUCAUGACACUAAAUUAAUUAAAAAUUUAAAUAUAUAUAUACAGCACAUCUGAAUGAAUAUUAUUGGGUUAUGAAAUAACUAAUAUUUAAUUGUCAAAUAUUUAUUAAAUUCAUCUCUAUUUUAUGAAAACUUUAAAAAAUUAAUCCAUUUAUUGAUAAAUACACGGAUUCGAUUUUUGUGUAUUUAAAUAAAUUAACUAUUUUUGUCCGUAAAAAACUCAAUUUUUAGAUCUUUUAAUUCUAAUUUUUUCAGAACCCAUAUUUUACUCUAAUUUAAACCUUUUAGGAAUACAUUUAAAAAAAAUCAUUUUUGAGGAUAGAUUAUUCAACUUUGCUUAUAUUUGGAAUUAUAUAUGAAAUUAAUUGGGGAAAGCUCAAAAAAUAAAAGUUAAAAAAGGCAAUUCGUUAAAUUUAUUAAAUAAAUCACUUUUAUGAUUAAAAAGACUUGUUUAAUUCAUAUAUGUCCACAUAUCACACAGUAGUGUUGAAAGUCGUUUGGAAAUUAUUUAUUGUUGUUAUUAUAUACAAAAUAUAUAAUUUUGAUUUUGAUAAUAAUUAUUGAUUAUUAAUAAAUUUAUUUUAAUAUCUUUAAUGAUAAUUUUUAAUCAUCAUCUUUGGCUGCUGCAUAAACUAACUAAGAUAUUGAACCGAAUAGUUUAUGUCUGGCCUAGUAAUAGUUAAAUAAAGUAACUUUCAAUGGCUCUUUUAUAUGCAGCUGUAUCUUGAUUUAAUGGUUAAAUUAAUAAUUUUAGUAAUAAAAGGAUCUAAUUGGUAUAACAUCGAUAAUUAAAUAAUAUAAUUAAAAUAUUUUGAAGAUAAUUAGUACAAUUAACUAAAACAAAUAAUUUAAUACAGAAAUUAAACAAUAUAAUAAAAAAUUCGAGAUUCAUAAAUCAUAACCAAUUUGGAAGAAACAGAUUUGGUGGAUUCAUAAAUAUCAUUAUUGAUUUUUUAAUUUUUAAAAUAUAUUAUUUAUACAAUAUUAAAGAAGGGUUGAAGAAUAAUAAAAUUUAAAUUCGUGUUAUUAUAUGAAAUAUAUAAUUUUGAUUUUGAUAAUAAUUAAAUAAAUACAUCAUAAACCUUAAGUAAAUAAUUAUUAGACUACUAUAAAUAAUUAUCAGGCAUGUCAAAAUUUAGUAUUUUAGUAAAUAAUAAUUAGAUUAUUUAAAAAAUAAAUAUAUUUAUUAAAGAAAUUAAGGUUUAAAUUUUAAUUUUGUGGAUUUUUAUUGAGUUUAGAUAAAAAGAUAAAAACAUAUUUAAAAUAAUGUAAAUAUAAUUUAUUUUGUGAUUUUAAAAGAUAUGAUUAUCAUAUCACACAAUUUCUAUUUUUUUCUUUUUCUUUUUUUACCAAUAAAUCGGUGACACCGGUGUUAUUUUAUUACGGUCUCAGUCUACUAGUGUCGAAGAAACAAAGCUUAUUAUCAGAGAGAAGCAGCGUUGCCGGAAAAUGGCUUGCCUUAAUGCCCGACGAUCUCUAUCCACCCUUUUAAGCCGCGCCCUCACUGCUUCUUCUUCUUCUUCCUUUCCUUCCCGUUCUCGCCUCACUGUUGCACUCCUCAACAAAACCCCAGUUUUUAUCCCCGAAGCAACCAAAAUCCUGACCCGAACCAAGACAUCCGGGUCCGGCUACUCGCCUUUGAACGACCCAUCUCCUAACAGUAGUAGCCCACGACCAUCGGUUCUCCUAGAUGACAGUUCUUAUGAGCAUUGGCUUAUCAUUUUGGAAUUCCCAGAACACCCGAAACCUUUGGAAGAAGAAAUGAUCGAUGCCUAUGUUAAAACCCUCGCUUCUGUUGUCGGCAGGUUUUUAAAUAAUAAUUAUUCCUUCAAAUUUCAUUAAAUCUGGGUUUUAUUUUCUUUUUUGUUUGUCUGAUCUUGUAGUGAAGAGGAAGCGAAAAAGAGAAUAUACUCUAUUUGUACAACGAGGUAUACUGGUUUUCGUGCUUUUUUCUCUGAGGAUUUGAUUGAUGAACUUAGAGGUAAUAUCAUUCCUCAUUUACUAGGGUUUAGGGUUUACAUGGUUUUCCCUUUUUCUAGUGUAAUUGGAACAAGAACCGGGUUUCUUGAAACAGUGGGUUUUCAGAAAGAAGAAAGAAUUAACAUUGGUUUUCAUUGUGUGUGAUGUGUUGCUAGCUGUUUUAGGGUUUUAAACCUCCCGAUGUGAUUGCUUUCUAUACUAAUUUAUUAGGGUUUAAAUGGUUUUCCCCAAUUGCUUUUGUGAGUGUUUUUGAACUUACAAUUGAUGAGGCAUCCACUUUGUUCUAAAAUCAAUUGGCAUUAUGUUUCUAUAGAGUUACCUCGUGUACGCUGGGUUUUACCAGUUCGGCAUUGUAGCCAAGAUCAUUAUUAUGCAGGUGGGUAGUUUAAAGAUGAAGUUUGCUGCUUAUAGCCAUUUAAGUUCCCAUUGUCAACAAAUUUAAUCUCUUUUUUAUUGGUGGAUUGAUUACCAGAGGAUUUUUUUGUUGAUGGCAAAGUCCUUCAUAGACCGCAAUUUCCAUGGGUUGGCGUUCCAAAUAGCAGCCACAGAGUUGGAGGAUGUGGUGAUCAUGAGCUUUGGCUUAUCACUUUUGAAUUCCGGGAAGAACCUUCUUUUGAAGAAAAGAUUGAUUUCUAUGUUAAAACCCUCGCUUCUAUUGUCGGCAGGUUUUUGAUUCCUUCAAAUUUGCCUUUUUUUCUCCUGGAAUUUGAGAAAUGGGUUUUAUUUUUCUUUUUUGUUUGUAGUGAAGAGGAAGCAAAAAGAAGAAUAUACGCUGUAGGUAGUAGACUAACGAGGUAUACUGGGUUUCGUGCUGUUAUGUCUAAGGAGAUGGCUUAUGAACUUGAAGGUAAUUGCAUUUCUCAUUUAUUAGGGUUUACAUGGUUUCUCAUUUUUUAGGGUUUAGUGUUUAGAAUUGGCGUUAUGUUUGUCUAGGGUUACCUCUUGUAGAAGGCGUUUAUCGGGAUUCAGAGGUCGAAUAUGACGAAGAUUUUGAAGGAGGUGGGUAGUUUAAAGAAUUCAAGAUGAUGUUUGUUGCUUACUGCCAUUGUCAACAAAUUUAAUCUCCUUUUCUUAUUAGGGCAUUUGCUUGUUGAUGGAAAAAUCGUUCUUAGACCAACCUCUUGUAGCACGAAACGACUAGAGGGGGGGAAACUGCCGGGAUUAUUACAUUUCCUGCAAGACCAGAUCCUUGACGUUAUUUAUUGGGAAGAAUCCAAAAGCAACGGCGGUGGCAAAAACUGAUCUCGUGCAGGAUGACAUCUUUUCCGAUAUUUAUAUUCGUAAUUUGGUGGAUUCAUAGAUCUCAUUAUUUAUUUUUUAAUUUUAAAAAUAUUUUAUUUGUAUAAUGAUUGAUAAUUAUUUGAAUUAUUAACUCGUGUUAUUUAGCUCAACAGAAGCCAUAAUCACCAUUCCUAAUAAAUAUUAACUUUAUUUAUUGCUCUUAUUGUAUACAAAAUAUAUAAUUUUGAUUUUGAUAAUAAUUAUUGAUUAUUAAUAAAUUUAUUUUAAUAUCUUUAAUGAUAAUUUUUAAUCAUCAUCUUAUUGUAACCUAAGUUUUUUUUAAGGUGAUUUGAUGAUCGAGGCCGUGGAUUAAUACCCAUCAAUUAGUAGAGAAACAUAUUUUAGAGGCCAAGUCGAUUUGAUGGUUGUUAAAUAUUGGAUAAGAAAAUUAUUUAGAUUUUGAUCCAUAGAUUCAUAAUGUUUAAAGUUGUUUUAUGAAGAAAAAAGCUAUAAAAAAGAAAAUGAAUUAGAGCUUUUGAUUGUGCCAUUCGAGUAAAGGUUUUGAAUUUUUUGAUCCUUGUGUACAUGGAAGGGAAAUAAUUAUUCUUAAGAAAAUUUUCUGGAAACAAUUAUUCUAAAAAAAAUUUAAAAUCAUUAAAAUAAAAGUAAAAAUAAAAAUAUUUUUUAUUUUUAUUAUUAAGUUUAAAUUUUAAAAACAUUUUUCAUUGUUUAAAUUGAACAUAAAACAUUAAAAUCUGUUCAAACCCAAUAAAUUACUCGACUCAUGAGCAAAUCUAAUUUCAAUUACCUACGACAUAUACAUAUUUGCAUCUUCAAUUUCUAAUUGGAUUCAACCCCUACUUUAAGAUUUGUGUAUUAUUAAAAAAAAUAUUUUUUUUUGAAUUUGAAAAGAUAGUCAAAUCAUUCGGGAUAUAUUUUAUAUUUGAUUAAUCUGUCUAAUUUUAAUUAAAUAAAUUAUUAAAAAAUUUAAAAUGGUAUACAUUUCUAUUCAAUUAAUUUAACAAUCGGUACAAUUAAUUUAAAAAUUAAUUAAUUUUUGUCCUUUCUUUGAAUCAAUCGAUUUAACCGAUCAGAUUUAUCUGGUUUCAACAACCUGUAAAAAGGAGUAGAUUUUCUUUUCUUUCUUUCUUUCUUUUUUUUUUUUUGUGUGUGUGUAUGAACUGCUUUUUGGCGGUGAAGGAUAAAUCAGGGAAAGGUUCCUUCUUAUUCUUACAUGAAAGAACAAAGUUCUUCUUAACUUUGGUUUUUGUUGGUAUUGAUUAAAAAAAAGAGACAAAUAUUAGUGUUAUCUAAUCAUAAUUGAGUUGAGAAUUGAUUAUGGUAUUGGUUUUGAGAGAAGGGACGAAGGUAAGGGCUAGAAAUAAAUAAAAUUUUUUAUUUAUCUAACCCCUUGUUUUCGCACCCCUGAAUCGGUAUAGAUCAAUUAAACCAAGUUAAAAAUUAGUUAAACUAAAUUUUAUUUAUUUAUUAAUAAUUUACCUAAUUAGACAGAUCGACCGGAAUAAAAAUUGGUAGUCUGAUUAGCUCUAGGACUAACCAACUCCAUAAACAUUGAUUUUUACAUGAACAAAAAAGAGAUUGUUUGUGUGUUAGAUAGUUAAAUUCAACCAAUUAUAUUUGUUGAAUCAAGUUGGGUUUUUAAACUGUGUUGUUUAAAGGCUAUUGAACUUUUUAUCAUUCAAUUUAACAAAAUAAAACGAUAAUACAUAUUUAAGCACAUUCAAACUCACAUAUUAAAUAUUACAACAACAUCGACGUCAAUUAAACUAAGACUAUUUACUAUUUUUAAUUUUAUUUUUAAAAUUAAAGAAAAAAACAUUUUCCAUGAGUAAAAUAGUUUUUUUGCAAUAAAAUAUUUAAUUUUUCACUCAAAGUAAACAAAUAACUACAAAUUUGUUAGCAUUCUAUCAAUCAUGCUUGUGAUUACAAUCACUUUUUUCUCAUUCUUCUAUUUUGCUGACUGUUUAAGAUGCAAGGGGCGUUAUUUUCAUUAAAAUUGCAUUUUAAAUACACAAAAAUCUCAUUACAAAUAUUCAAAUUAUUGGUAUCAGUAUUGUUGUCAAUUCAGCAGGACGUGAGUUUGAGUGCGUUAAAGUGCAUUAUCCUCCUAUUUAAGAGUUAGGGAGAGACUAUGUGCCGUUUUAGACAUUAUAUAAAAAAACAUAUAUGAUAAAAACCUAUAACGAGAUUAAUGUUCAAACAAUAUAGAAAACAAGCUUACGUGGUACGGUUAUUUGAUUGACCAGUGGAUACCCUAUAUGGUAAGGGAUUCAUAAAAGUAUAAAAUUGAUAAGUUUUUUUUAAGCAAAUUGAUGAAUCUCUUAAAUUGGUAUUAAAAUAAAAAAGUUAAAUAUUUUUUUUUGAAAAUUUUGAAUUAAAUUAAUUACUAUACGUUGUAACUAUUAAUUGUGGUUUACUUUUUGAAGAAUGAAUUUUCAAAUUUUCAUAUAAAUUUCCUUAGCAAUUUCUAUAUCAAAAUAAAAUUAAUGGAUUCCAAAAUUUUGGGAUCAAUUUUCCGCGAGGAUGCUAAUGGAGUGUUAAUCAAAAUUUGAAGAAUGAAUUUUUAAAAUCAUGAGAGUUAGGUGAUAUGGUAAAAGUUUUUAUCACUUUAAUCAAUUGAGGGUUUGAUCAUUGUCCUGGGUCUAAAGCAAUUUUAAAACUUGUGACUAGCAUUUAUUUCCUUCAUGUACCUAUAGAAUGUGAAUGAUUAAUUAAUGUGCUCGUUCUAGUAAAUACCUUCAAUAGAAAUAAAUUUUAAAAUUAAAUAAUAUUUAAAAUUCAACUAAAUAUAAAAUGCCCUCACAUUUAUCUAAUAUAUUCAAAGGAAACUACUAUGCAGGUCAUCCAAAAAUUAUUUUGAUAAAUUUAGUCAGUCUAAUUAAAAUAAUUAUUUGAACUGGUCACCGUCAUUAAAAAUUUCGUUAUUCUACUAAUAAAUUAUGAUGUAACACAUUAACCAAUUGAAUAACUACACGUAGCACAUUUUUUGUUUAAAUAAGAAAAGAACAAUCUCACAUUAGCUAAGAAAAAGCUUUUAAGAGUUUAAAUAUAGCCUUACUUUUAUGUUUUUAUAGAGUAAUUGAGGCGAAGGUCCAACACACAUGUAAUAUUAUCUACUUGGCCUGUUUUUGUGAUAACAUGUAUUGCAUGUGUUUUGUUUUCAAUAUUUUUUUUUGUUUUAUUUAAACAUAAUUUUUUUUCAGAGAAUCUAAUCAGUCAACGAAAAAUAUGAUCCGUUUUCUUCAGUUGCACCAUUUGCGAAACCUUACUGUUUUUGCCCCUACUUUGAAAAAUCAUUCUUCUUUCCUCUGCUUAUUUGCUUGCUUUCCUUUAGUCAUUUUUCUGAUUGAGUGUCUAAUUCUUUUGAGAAGAGCAAUUUCAAUCGUUGUUCCACCUUCUUUAUUCGGAUGUAAAUAUAGAAGUAUUGUGUUAACCUUAGGGGACGAAGUCCAUUACUUAAUUACAUCGAUCAGUGCGAAUCUACUUCUAAGACAGUGAUUCUUCCAUGGCACAAUAAUUACUUUAUUUUUUAUUUACGAUCAAUUUAUUUUUCCCAGUCAGUGCUAACAAGUCUAUUUUGUAAUAGUAUUUUUCCAACAGAUGCAACAUAUCUUACCUUAUCAUUUUCAACCUUCAAAGUCUUUUGAUGCAUACAAUUGUGUAAUUUCUCGAUAUUUUUUAUUAUUUAGAAUUCUAACACAUCAUAUCCCUAAAAUCCUGGAUAGAAAGCAUAAAGCUAAACAAUGAGAUGGAUAUAUAUAGGAUGCAAGCACAAAUAGUAAAAAUAUUGACUUAAUUAGUUCUUUCAAAUUUAAAAUUAUGAUUAAAAAAAACUUGGACGUUCUCCCAAUAUGUCUCAGGUGUAACACCCCCUAACCCUAAACUGUCGCCGGAACAGGGUUAUGGAGUACUACCAGCCAUAUCGAACAAUUUACUAAUAAUUCACAAAUCAAUAACAUAAAUAGUAUAAUUUAAUUAUUAAGUUCCUAAAAUGAACCCUCGAGGUCCAAAACACGUAUUUCAAGUGAAACGAGACUAAUUCGAGUAUUCUGAAAAUUUUUCAUAAUUUUUUUUUGAACUCAAUAUAACCCCUUUAUAAACAUCUAACCUUCAAAUCAUUAUUAUUAUGCAGUUGGGUAGUUUAAAGAUGAAGUUUGCUGCUUACAGCCAUUGAAGUUCUCAUUGUCAACAAAUUUAAUUUUUUUUUUAUUGGUGGAUUGAUUGCCAGGGGAUCUAUUUGUUGAUGGGAAAGUCUUUCAUAGACCGCAAUUUCCAUGGGUUGGUGUUCCAAAUAGCAGCCACAGAGUUGGAGGAUGUGGUGAUCAUGAGCUUUGGCUUAUCACUUUCGAAUUCCGGGAAGAACCUUCCUUAGAAGAAAAGAUUGAUUUUUAUGUCAAAACCCUCGCUUCUGUUGUCGGCAGGUUUUUGAUUCCUUCAAAUUUGCGUUUUCUUUCCUGGAAUUUGAGAAAUGGGUUUUAUUUUUCUUUUUUGUUUGUAGUGAAGAGGAAGCGAAAAGGAGAAUAUAUGCCGUAGGUGGUAGACUAACGAGGUAUACUGGGUUUCGUGCUGUUAUGUCUGAGGAGAUGGCUUAUGAACUUGAAGGUAAUUGCAUUUCUCAUUUAUUAGGGUUUACAUGGUGUUCUCAUUUAUUAGGGUUCAGUGUUUGGAAUUGGCGUUAUGUUUGUAUAGGGUUUCCUCUUGUAAAAGGCAUUUAUCGGGAUUCACAGGAUGAAUAUGACGAAGAUUUUGAUGGAGGUGGGUAGUUUAAAGAAUUCAAGAUGAUGUUUGUUGCUUACUGCCAUUGUCAACAAAUUUAAUCUCCCUGUUCUUAUUAGGGCAUUUGCUUGUUGAUGGGAAAGUCGUUCUUAGACCAACCUUUUCUAGCAAGAAGAUCUGGUGCCUGACGCGAUUAGUUCCUUUGGUGGUGGACCAAGUAUUAAACGAUAUUUAUAUUCGUAAAAUGGAUGAAACCGGAACCGAGGGCUAGGAACAGAUCUUUUCUGAUUUGGUGGAUUCAUAGAUCUCUUUAUUUAUUUAUUUUUUAAUUUAUGUGUUCAAUAUUAGAAGAGUCAUAAUUAUUUGAAUUAUUAAUUCGUGUAAUCUCCAUUCCUAAUGAAUACUUACUUUAUUUAUUGUUGUUAUUAUUUAAAAUAUAUAAUUUUGAUUAUUUAUAAAUUUACUCUAAUAUCUUUAAUCAUCAUCUCAUUGUAGUCUAAAUUAUUGGUAAUUAUUCCCGCCGGACCAGUGAACAGGCCUUACUACUAGAAUAAGCAACCCGUUGUCCUUAACAUUAAUUUCCGCAGAGGUGCACAAAAUUUUGGAGAUUAUUUUUGUACCACUGAUAGCAUGCUUAACUAAUAGCAAUAAUUUAUUCAGCUGCGGCUUCAACAUGCACUUCCAUAUACAUAGAUCAAGUUAUAGGUUUUUAGUUAUCUCACGCAAUCGAUGUUCAAAGCUAAAUGAGAACACAGCAAAGAUGCUUUCAUGGAAUUAGCAUAAUUGAUCCAGUUGUUCUGCGAUUCUCGAGGUCUGCAUUUGCCCGUGCUGCUUUUGACAAAGGGUACUUGUGAAUUAAUUUUUGAAAUGUUACUGAAUUAAUAUUUAUCGACUAUACAAAGAGGACGGAGGCCUUAUGAAGUUAUGGUUGAUUCUUCAAAGGGUUAACUCUAAAAGAGGGUCCACAUGCAAGUGGACUGCAGGAGCAGCCCGACAGAUUCCGGAUUGGUUGUUCGAAGAAAAACCCUCGAAACUCCAAUUCUGUGCUUGAGAGUAACUGAUGAAAUGAGAACCCUGGGUUCAUCUGUUAGUUCAUUCUUUGGUGUGAAUAGAAGAGAUAUCAUUCUUUUAAAAAAACCAGAUCCCCUAUAUGUUGAUAAGUCAAAUUAAAAAGGGGUUGAAAAGUCAAAAAUGGGAGGUGCAAGUGGCACCGAAAGAAAAAAAAAGUGACAGGCAAGUUGUUUAAAGUUGAAUGGGAUAAUUGUAAUUUUGGUCCCUAAUUUUUUAGGCCAUUUGCAAGUUAGUCCCUGAACCUCAACUAUAAAUAGGCCUAACCAUUUCUCAUUUCAACCAUCCCAACCAAUCUUUCUCUCUUAGUUUUCUCUCUUCUCCCAUUUGAGAAUUCUUAAGGAAUUCUAUUUGUUUGUAAUACUUUGGAGAUAGUAAAGUUAUCAUCUGGUGUUAGUGCCCGAGGACGUAGGUAUAAUUUACCGAACCUCGUUAAAUCUCUUGUGUUCUUUCUUGUCCUAUUUUUCUUUCAAUAUUUGAGGGUAUAAUAGUAGUAUUUAAUUGUGCUAUUAAAUUACUAUAGAAGGGAUAUUCUGUCUAAGGAAAGACUUGGUAUUUAAGAGAUCCAUGUGAUCCACCUCUCUUCCCUGGGAAUUAAACUUUGUGUGAUUUUUUAGUACAAUAAUUUACACGCUUCCAACCCUAUUGGAACAACAAGUGGUAUCAAGAGCCGAAGGUUAAUCGUAGUAUGCUCUGUGGUUGCAGUUUAAACUGAUCUUCCACAUCAGAAAAGAUUUCCUUAGGUAUAUUGAAAGAUUAUGGAGAAAACGGUCGGUGUAGGAGCUUCAACAUCGUCCAUGUGGACAAGACCGACAAUUGCAAAUGCAAGAUUGGCCGUGAAGAUCUUUGAUGGCACGGGCCAUUUUGGUAUGUGGCAAAGUGAGGUUCUAGAUGCCCUUUUUCAGCAGGGUCUAGACAUUGCCAUUGAUGAAGAGAAACCAGAUGAUGUACAGGAGAAAGAUUGGAAGGCGAUCAAUCGGUUGGCAUGUGGCACAAUUCGAUCAUGCCUUUCUCGAGAGCAGAGGUAUGCUUUUUCAAAGGAGACUUCUGCAAAUAAGUUGUGGGUGGCACUUGAAGAAAAAUUUUUGAAGAAAAACAGUCAAAAUAAGCUCCACUUGAAGAAAAGACUGUUUCGCUUCACAUACGUCCCAAGUACCACAAUGAAUGAUCAUAUCACCAAAUUUAAUCAGUUAUUCACUGAUUUGCUGAAUAUGGAUGAGACAUUCAAAGAUGAAGAUUUGGCUUUGAUGCUGUUGGGGUCACUUCCUGAGGAGUUUGAGUUCCUAGAAACUACUCUACUUCAUGGCAGGAGUGAUAUAUCUCUGAGCGAAGUCUGUGCGGCCUUAUACAGUUAUGAACAGAGAAAGAAUGACAAACAGAAAAACUCAAUCAGAGAUACAGAAGCUUUAAUAGUCCGAGGUCGUUCAUACACUCGGAAGAAAACUCAAAAGGGGAGAUCAAAGUCAAAGUCCAGACUCGGGAAAGAUGAAUGUGCUUUUUGUCAUGAGAAAGGCCACUGGAAGAAAAAUUGUCCAAAGCUGAAGAAUAAGGGAAAAGCUGCUGUAGAUGCUUGUGUUGCAAAGCAUGAUACUAGUGACUUUGAACUAUCACUAGUUGCAUCAUCAUCGUCGUUCCAUUCAGAUGAGUGGAUAUUGGAUUCGGGUUGUACCUUUCAUAUGUCCCCUAACCGGGAGUGGUUCUCUGAUUUAGUAGAACUAAAUGGAGGAGUUGUUUAUAUGGGCAAUGACAAUGCCUGUAAAACUGUUGGGAUAGGUUCAAUCCAAUUAAAGAAUCAAGAUGGAUCAACCAGAGUUCUGACUGAUGUUCGGUACGUGCCCAGUUUGAAGAAAAAUCUCAUCUCAUUGGGAGCCUUGGAAUCCAAUGGUUCAGUUGUUACUAUGAGAGAUGGGAUUUUGAAAGUGACAUCUGGCGCACUUGUGAUAUUGAAGGGCAUCAGGAAAAAUAACUUGUAUUACUACCAAGGUAGUACAGUUAUUGGAGCAGUCGCUACAGCUUCCGGUAACAAAGAAUUAGACUCAAUGCAGUUGUGGCAUAUGAAGUUGGGACAUGCCAGCGAAAAAUCCUUGCAAAUUCUGGCAAAGCAAGGAUUGUUGAAAGGUGCAAAGGCUUACAAAUUAAAAUUUUGUGAGCAUUGUGUUCUGGGAAAGCAAAAGAGAGUGAAAUUCGGUACUGCUAUCCAUAAUACAAAAGGUAUUUUGGAAUAUGUUCACUCAGAUGUGUGGGGGCCUUCCAAGACACCUUCAUUGGGAGGAAAACACUACUUUGUUACUUUUGUUGAUGACUUUUCCAGAAGAGUUUGGGUGUAUACCAUGAGAACUAAGGAUGAAGUGCUUAGAGUUUUUCUUAAAUGGAAAACUAUGAUCGAAAACCAGACUGGCAAGAAAAUCAAGCGACUUAGGACGGACAAUGGAGGGGAAUAUAAAAGUGAUCCGUUCUUCGAUGUGUGCCAAGAGUAUGGUAUUGUUCGACACUUCACAGUUAGGGAUACACCACAGCAGAAUGGAUUGGCAGAGCGUAUGAAUCGAACAUUGCUUGAGAAAGUUCGAUGUAUGUUGUCCAAUGCUGGGUUGGGCAAGCAAUUUUGGGCUGAGGCUGUGACAUACGCUGGCCAUCUUAUUAAUCGUUUGCCAUCAUCUGCAUUAGAAAUAAAAAUUCCUAUGGAGGUAUGGUCUGGAAAACCGGCUACAGAUUAUGAUUCCUUACAUGUGUUUGGAACCACUGCAUAUUACCAUGUGAAGGAGUCAAAGCUAGAUCCGAGGGCAAAGAAAGCUCUCUUUAUGGGAAUCACUUCUGGAGUGAAGGGAUUUCGUCUUUGGUGUUUAAGCACAAAGAAAAUGAUCUGUAGCAGAGAUGUUACCUUUGAUGAAUCUGCCACAUUGAAAAAGGUAGCAGAUAAAGAUAUUCAGACGAGCAAUACUCCACAGCAGGUGGAGUGUACUCCAAAACAGGUGGAGUUUGAGCAGAUGGGGAUUUGCCCAGUUAAUAAGUCUAAUUCUCCAGCCACAAUGGAGGAAUUAGAGGUUGAAGAGGUUCUGACCCAAGAACCACUAAGUACACCAGAACCAGUUGCAGUUGCAAGGCCACGGAGAGAAAUUCGUAAACCUGCUCGAUUUUCUGAUAUGGUGGCCUACGUCCUUCCCGUUGUUGAUGAUAUUCCUAUCACUUAUCAAGAAGCAAUGCAAAGCUUAGAAAGUGAUAAAUGGAAAAGCGCCAUGGAUGAAGAAAUGCAGUCUCUCCGGAAGAACAAUACUUGGGAGUUGGUGCAAUUACCGAAAGGUAAAAGGGCAAUCGGAUGCAAGUGGGUAUUCUCAAAGAAAGAUGGAUCUCCUAGCAAGAAGGAUAUUCGCUACAAGGCAAGAUUGGUAGCUAAAGGUUACGCUCAGAAGGAGGGAAUUGACUACAAUGAUGUAUUUUCCCCUGUUGUGAAGCAUUCCUCCAUUAGAAUUUUGUUGGCCUUGGUAGCACAGUUGAAUUUGGAGCUAGCUCAACUUGAUGUUAAGACGGCUUUCUUGCAUGGUGAGUUAGAAGAGGAGAUCUAUAUGACUCAGCCCGAAGGAUACACAGAUGCUGGUGGUAGAAAUUGGGUUUGUAAGCUUAACAAAUCGCUAUAUGGAUUGAAGCAAUCCCUGAGGCAGUGGUACAAGCGAUUUGAUAGCUUUAUGAGAAGGCAGAAGUACACAAGAAGCAAAUAUGACAAUUGUGUAUAUUUGCAGAAGCUGCAUGACGGAUCUUUCAUUUAUCUACUCUUGUAUGUUGAUGAUAUGUUAAUCGCUUCAAAGAGCCAAAAUGAGAUAGAUAAGCUGAAGGCUCAGUUGAAUCAAGAGUUCGAGAUGAAAGAUCUAGGUGAGGCCAAGAAGAUUCUCGGCAUGGAGAUAAGUAGAGAUAGACUGAGAGGCAAGCUCUGUUUAAAUCAGAAGCAAUAUCUGAAAAAGGUAUUACAAUGUUUUGGUGUAAAUGAAAACACAAAACAUGUAAGUACCCCACUUGCUUCUCAUUUGAAACUUAGUGCUCAAUUAUCUCCGAAGACUGAAGAUGAAAGAGAAUAUAUGGCGAAAGUCCCAUAUGCUAAUGCAGUUGGGAGUUUGAUGUAUGCGAUGGUGUGUACGAGGCCUGCCAUUUCACAAGCUGUUGGAGUUGUGAGCAGGUAUAUGCAUGAUCCUGGAAAAGGACAUUGGCAAGCUGUGAAAUGGAUUCUACGGUAUCUUCGAAAAAUCGUAGAUGUUGGUUUAAUUUUUGAACAGGAUGAAGCACUUGGUCAGUUUGUAGUUGGAUAUGUUGAUUCCGACUUUGCUGGUGAUUUAGAUAAACGUCGUUCAACUACGGGGUAUCUGUUUACUCUUGCGAAAGCCCCAGUGAGUUGGAAGUCUACCUUACAGUCUACAGUAGCUGUGUCUACUACAGAGGCAGAAUAUAUGGCAGUUACAGAAGCUGUUAAGGAGGCUAUUUGGCUUAAUGGAUUAUUGAAAGACUUGGGAGUUGUUCAAAGUCACAUUAGUCUAUAUUGUGACAGUCAGAGUGCUAUUCAUUUAGCGAAAAAUCAAGUCUAUCAUUCAAGAACCAAGCAUAUCGACGUAAGAUAUCACUUUGUGCGGGAAGUCUUUGAAAAAGGAAAAAUUCUACUUCAGAAGAUUCCGACAGCAGAUAAUCCCGCAGAUAUGAUGACCAAGGUGGUAACAACAAUCAAGUUUAAUCAUUGUUUGAACUUGAUUAACAUCCUGAGGAUUUGAGCACCUUUAGGUGUAUGGCGCUCGAGAGCGUAUUUGGAGGCACUACAAAAGAUAUCUUUAUCGAAUUUGGGGAGUUGAAGGAAGUGUGUGAAGAUGUGAUUAUCCUAAUCAAAUCUUCAAUGUGGAGAUUGUUGAUAAGUCAAAUUAAAAAGGGGUUGAAAAGUCAAAAAUGGGAGGUGCAAGUGGCACCGAAAGAAAAAAAAAAGUGAUAGGCAAGUUGUUUAAAGUUGAAUGGGAUAAUUGCAAUUUUGGUCCCUAAUUUUUUAGGCCAUUUGCAAGUUAGUCCCUGAACCUCAACUAUAAAUAGGCCUAACCAUUUCUCAUUUCAACCAUCCCAACCAAUCUUUCUCUCUUAGUUUUCUCUCUUCUCCCAUUUGAGAAUUCUUAAGGAAUUCUAUUUGUUUGUAAUACUUUGGAGAUAGUAAAGUUAUCAUCUGGUGUUAGUGCCCGAGGACGUAGGUAUAAUUUACCGAACCUCGUUAAAUCUCUUGUGUUCUUUCUUGUCCUAUUUUUCUUUCAAUAUUUGAGGGUAUAAUAGUAGUAUUUAAUUGUGCUAUUAAAUUACUAUAGAAGGGAUAUUCUGUCUAAGGAAAGACUUGGUAUUUAAGAGAUCCAUGUGAUCCACCUCUCUUCCCUGGGAAUUGAACUUUGUGUGAUUUUUUAGUACAAUAAUUUACACGCUUCCGACCCUAUUGGAACAACACUAUACACAUUUUAAAAAAAAUAUCAUCUUUUACCAUACUCUUGUACAAAAUUGGCUUAACUAUAUGAAUACAAUUGGUCAGGCAUUGAAAUGCAACAUUAUGGUACAUGUAAAAGGAACUCAUAAAGAGAACUUUGGGUUGCUUUUCGAUAUGCUAUAUAAAUUAUGUACAGUGUGAGAGCUUACGAUAGCCUUUGCAAAGGAACAUUGUGAUAUGUCUAUAACGGAUAAAGGAGCAGCAACAAAAGCUCCACCAUCAGUUCAAAUGGUUGUGGAAGCAUUAGUCGGAGAUUUAGAAUGGUGAGACACGAAUGAUUCUACAAAUGGAUUCACAAGAUGUGGAGCUUCAUCCUGCAUGCACAUUAGUAAUACAGCAAUGAACUAUCAUAUUUGUUAACAGAAAAACCUGUCGAACCAUAGUUUCAUGAGAGAGCAAACCUGAGGGCAGUGGCCAACAUUGGGGAGGACAACAAAGUCUUCUACAGUAUCGAAAUCCACGUAGGCUCUUCUGAGUUCGAUGCUUUCCCAUGAUCCUUGUCACCCCAUGCUAUCAAGGUGUAGGCGAUGAGAACAGAAAAGACCAUACUACAAUAAUUUCAACAACUCAAUGACUUAAAAAAAAACCUUUCGAAUAAUUAAAUAAUAUUUUGUAACUUUUUAAAGUUUAUGUUUCAUUCACUAGGAUGGUAAGUUCCAAGGUAUAUAUGUAGCACUUUUAAGCACUAGCAAUGUUAUUUACGAAUGACAUUAUUGUUAUGUCCAACUCCCGAAGCGGACCAAUAAAAAUUGCUUCCAACUAUGGCUGUAAAUGCAUGUGUUUUCCAUUUAUUACCUGAACAAUGAGCUAGAAUUUGUUUAGUAUCUCUUGAUUCUGGUGGUUUUAACAUAACUUUUCUUGAGGAUUCAGUUUAUGUUUUGAAAGGGGAAAAAAAAAGAAAAGAAAAAAGAUCACAUUGUGUAGAGUUUGGACAUGCUCCCUGUUUUUGUUGAAUUUUAAUUUGUUGCUGUACUUGCAGGUUAUGGUUAAAAAUCUGGAACAAGUGGUUUCUAUGGUUUUGAACUCCUUUAACCAUUCUGAUCACCCCCGUGUGAGGUGGGCAGCUAUUAAUGCAAUCGGGCAAUUGUCUACCGACUUGGGUCCUGAUUUGCAGAACCAAUAUCACCAAAGAGUAUUGCCUGCCUUAGCAGCUGCUAUGGAUGACUUCCAAAAUCCUAGAGUACAGGUUAGUUACAACUAUAUAAAAUUUGCCUCAGGGCUAUAGAUUAUGCUUUUAACCGUUGCUAACUAUUAUUCCUCUGCCCUUUACAUAGAGAUGAUGUGUCUACCUGAUCUUUCUGUGUUUGCAUGGUAUAAUUGAUACCUCUCUCCCCCCACCCAUAAACAUCAUUAAUUAUCCAGCUUGUUUCUGUAAUUUCCACCUACUAAAGUUGUCAAUGCAUGCACAUGGUGUCUCUAUGGUGCAUCGCUUGCUUUAGUUAAAGCUUAAUUAAGUGGAUAUAUCUUCUUAUUUGUUUAUAUAAUUUACUUUAGUCAUCAAUAAAAACUCGCAAAAUUUCCAGUUUGGAACAUUUCAACUUGUUACUAGCAGAUUAUUUUCAUCACUCUUUAGAAUUCAUUUAUGGUCAUUAUGCCAAAUUUCUAAAUGAUCAAAAGAUAUGUUAUGUUAUCAAAUAAUGGCCACAAAGUUGUUAGAUUUCGUUGUACAAUUCUCUAUCUUGCUUCUUCUCGAAAGACAAAAGGGAACUUCUAUUUUUGCUAGCAUUUAUACAGAUUAAUUUCUAAAAUGGUGGAUGCAUUUGCAAGAGCCUGAGAAUGGAUUGUGAAGGGAAUUAAUUGAUUGGAGAGUGGAUGUUGCAUCAUGAUUUCCUGAAUAUUUUAUGAAUCUUCUUUUUUUUUUUGGGGGGGGGGGGGAGGAAUCCUUGUUUAUGUGUUCAUGUGGAUAUUGAGUUGAUGAAUGAUGCUUAGUUACCUUUUAUUGAGGAAACUGAAAUAACCUAGCUUGUGCUCCUUUUUGUAUGAACGUUUAACAGUCUUAUUAUGUUGUAAAGAGUUUUUUCCCUACCUUGUUUCAUGCCGGUUAGGUACUUGCAUGUUCAAGAUUUUCCUGUUUAUUUUGUAUAACAGUUAAUUUUGCUAUAUAUAAUUGUCUUAACAGGCCCAUGCUGCUUCAGCUGUGCUCAACUUCAGUGAGAAUUGCACUCCAGAAAUUUUAACACCUUACUUAGAUGGAAUAGUUAGCAAAUUGCUUGUACUUUUACAGGUAUGAGUUAUGACAGUUGGAGCUAUAAAUAUCACAUCAAGCAUGCAUGAAUUAAUUUUAUUAAAGGAUUUUUUUUUAACAUAAGAUAUAACAUGCAGAAUGGGAAACAAAUGGUGCAAGAAGGGGCCUUGACUGCAUUGGCAUCAGUUGCUGACUCAUCUCAGGUAUAGAUUUUACCCUAAAGAAAGCUAUAUUGAUCAUGGAUUUAUAUAUUUUUUUCGAGAUGACUCAGUUUGACGAUAUGGGGGUUUGCAGGAGCCCUUCCAAAAAUACUAUGAUGCAGUUAUGCCUUAUCUGAAAGCUCUCUUGGUGAAUGCAACUGACAAAUCUAAUCGUAUGCUUCGUGCCAAAUCCAUGGAGUGUAUUAGUAUUGUUGGAAUGGCUGUUGGAAAGGAGAAGUUCAGAGAUGAUGCUAAGCAGGUUGGUACAAGUGUAAAAGCACCAUUCCUGCGUUAAUUUGUUUUCUUUUCCUCUUCUAGUUAUUUUCUUAUAUCUCAGACAGAAGCUGCGUUGCCGGAAAAUGGCUUGCCUCAAUGCCGGACAUUCUCUAUCCACCCUUUUAAGCCGCGCCCUCACUGCUUCUUCUUCCUUCCCUUCCCGUUCUCGCCUCACUGUUGCUCUACUGAACAAAACCCUAGUUUUUAACCCCGAAGCAACCAAAAUCCUGAGAUUGUUGCUUGAUAUUGAGGAUGAUGCAGCGUGGCACACUGCAGAAGUCGAGGAUGAAGAUGCUGGAGCUGUUUGUACAGAUUUACCCAAACUAGACCAACCAACAGUAGGGGCGUCCAAGGAACAAAGGACACAGCUCCAGUGCAAUUAAUGAUACAGGCGGCCAAGAAUCAUUUUAACUUUUCUUUUCUUUUCUUUUUUUACUCACUAUCCAGGCCAUCUCAAAAUUUUUGGGUUAAUUGCUCUUUUGGUCCUAAUACUUACAUAGAGUUUGAGUUGAAACUUAUCAAUUUAAAAUUUUUAAUUUGUCAGUAGUUUCUAUUAAAACUUAUCAAUUUUUAAUUUUGAGUUACAUUUUUUAUUUUUUUAAAAUUUAAAACUUCAUAAAAAUUAUAAAAAUAUUUUUAAAAAUUAUAAAAUAUUAAAAAAUAUUUUUUAAUAUACCAUAUUAACAAAGUUAACAAAUAUUAAUUUUUUCAUUCAUUUUAAAGUAAAUUGAUUAAAAUACAAAUUUAAAGACUAAAAAACAAAAAAAUAAAAUAAAGUACUAAAUGUUUUAUUUUUAUUUUCAUCCCUCAUUUCUCUCAGCCACCCCCCUCUCUCUCUCUCUCUCUCUCUCUGUGACACAGCAGCCAAGCAAACCAGAAUAAACGCAUAAAAAGGGAGAGAGGAAUCAAUUAACCAUCCUCUUCUUCAUUUUGCUCACAGUGAGCAUAGAUUGAACGAAAUGAAAAAAAAUGAUAAUGAACAAAAUACAGAGAAUAGUCUUAAUAUCAUUAGCUUUGGUGAACCUGUACAUACAUUUCACAUAAUAAUAAAAGUUCUAUGUCUUCUUUUACGAUUCUGCAACAUAGAGAUUGCAUUACAUAAACAAAAACAAACUUCAUAUCUGGUGGAGCCGAGACAGCAACGAAGAUAGCAAAGACAUUAUAGUAAAGAUAGUAAGGUAAAAAAAGUAUCUGGUUUAGGUUAUUUAGCCUCGUCUUCCUCGUCAAACCCAGAAUAGUUAACGUGGAGCCUCCCAGUCCCACUCUUUAUGUAGUGUGCUCGCAAAGCCCUCAUCCGUUGUACUUCUGGUUCCUCCUUGCCAUCUUUGGAAGUAGUGUUAGAGUGGAGCGGCUUCUUUAUGGAGUUGGCAAAGAGAGCAAAUACUAUGUUGGUCGUUCUCCGCUCGGACCACCACAAAAGUUCCUUAAUGACCAUACGGUAGGUGGUCACAUCGUUUCUUAAUUUCAACCGUGUGAGAUAUCUCACAGCUACAGGAAAAUUUCCUGAUUGACAUAACGCUUCAAGCAACAUAUGUGAACCUGCAGGACUACGAAACAUACCUGAGCUUAUCAUAAUCCCAACCACUGCUAAAGUAUUUCUUUUGCCUUCAACAAAUGGUGGGUCAAGCAUAUCUACAGGUGGUGGUGGGUCAUUCUUUAAAAUAAAAGAGCACAUUUUAAAAACAUGACGUCUGCGUAGAAUGCUCAUGGUGAAAGAAUAAAGAAGAGGGAGUAGAAAAUGAACAAGAGAAGCAAGAAUGCAGAAGAGGGUUUGGCUCUGCAAAAUGGGGAAGUUGUUCUUAAAAAAACUGAAAGCAGCUAGGAUCCGAGGAUCCGAGACCCGAUACGGGGCGCUAGGAUCCGCUCUCUAGCGCUUGGGUUAUUUUCCCGGUCGGUCCUUAAGAUUUUUUUACUUUUUCAAUUUAAUCCUGUUCAUUUUUUUGCUUUUUAAUUUUUUCCCUGUGAUUUUCGCAUUGUUUCAUUUAGUCCACAUUGGAACUGUGCGUUUUGGAAGAGAGGGAAUAUUUUCCAUUUUGAUCCCUCUAUUUUAUUCGAGCAUUACGAUUAAGUCCUUCACCUUAUUUUAAUUCCCAAUUCCUCCCCAAAAUUUUGUUUGGCUUUCAAUUUCAGUCCUUAUUAUAUUUUUUAUUUUUUUAAAAUACUUUUGCAUUUUUAUACUUUAUAUUUUUAUUAUUUAAAUUUCUACUUUUAAGUUCAAUUAAUCUAUUUUAUUUCAACCUUUCCACAAACUUUUUAUUUUAUUUAUUUAUUUAUUUAUUUAUCAUUAUUUCGUCUUCCUUUUACAUUAAAAAAAAUAGAUUAUUGGUACUCUUUUUUUAAUUGUGCGUUUUUAGUAUUGUUGUUAUUAGUUUAAUUCUAAAGUUUUUGUUGUUGUUGUUGUUUUAUUAUUUCUAAUAUCUUCAGGUUAUGUUUAUUUAUCUUUUUUAAAUUGUGCAUUUUCCAUUUCCAUUUUAAUUUUAAGUUACUUUAUUUAUUUUAAUAUUGCAAUCUGAUUAUUAAUAUUAUUACCAUUUUUGUAAUCAAUUCAUGUCACAUUAAUUUUCUAAGACAGAAAUUAAAUAAUAUAAUAAAAAAUUUGAGAUUCAUAAAUAAUAACAAAUUUGGAAGAAACAUAUUUGGUGGAUUCAUAAAUCUCAUUAUUGAUUUUUUUUAAUUUUAAAAAUAUGUUAUUUAUACAAUAUUAAAGAAGGGUUGAAGAAUAAUAAAAUUUGAAUUCAUGUUAUUACAUGAAAUAUAAAAUUUUGAUUUUGAUAAUAAUCAAAUAGAUACAUCAUAAACCUAAAGUAAAUAAUUAUUAGACUACCAUAAAUAAUUAUCAGGGCCGUUCACGCAUGUCAAAUUUUAGUACUUUAAUAAAUUAUAAUUAUAUUAUUUAAGAAAUAAAUAUAUUUAUUAAAGGAACUAUGUAAAAUGAUAAAGUUAAAGGUUUAAAUUUUAAUUUUGUGGAUUUUUAUUGAGUUUAGAUAAAAAAGAUAAAAACAUAUUUAAAAUAAUGUAAAUAUAAUUUAUUUUGUGAUAUCACAAGAUAUGAUAUCACACAAUUUCUGUCUUUUUUAACAAUAAAUCACAAAGCUUAUUAUCAGACAGAAGCAGCGUUGCCGGAAAAUGGCUUGCCUCAAUGCCCGACGAUCUCUAUCCACCCUUUUAAGCCGCGCCCUCACUGCUUCUUCUUCCUUUCCUUCCCCUUCUCGCCUCACUGUUGCUCUCCUCAACAAAACCCCAGUUUUUAUCCCCGAAGCAACCAAAAUCCUGAUCCGAACCAAGACAUCCGGGUCCGGCUACAUCGCCUUUGAACAAUUUUCAUACGAUAUUUCAAUCAUAAUUUGGACCAUGAAAUAAUAUUAAAAUAAUUUUUCUUCCAGACUCGGAUUUGUGGUCCCGAAACCAUUGUUCCGAUUUUACUGAAAAUGGGCUGUUACAAUUGUGAGAUGUGUGGAUAUAAGUGCAAGUAUAGUGAGAUAUGUUGCAAAGGGCAAUGCGUUUAUUGAACUUGCAUUUAUUGUCAAAUCACUUAAAAAUGGAUUGAAAAUUUAACAUUGUUAACUUUGAAAACAUGGCAUACACGUAGAUGACAUGCCAUCAUUUAAUUAAUUUUUUUAAAUUUUAAAAAAUAUUUUUAUAUUUUUAAUAAUUUUAAUUUUUUUAAAAAGAUUUUUAUAAUUUUUUAUUUUUAAAAAAGUUAAUUAAAUGUUGACGUGUUAUCGUGUUAUCCACGUGGAAAUUCACGUCUAUGACACGUCAGCAAAGUAAAAAAACGUUUAAAUUUUUUCUCCAUUUUGGGGUGAUUUAACAGAAAAUACGAAUUUAAUGGCUAACAGAGGUGAAAAAUUUUAAAGAAUAAAAUAAAUUUUUUUAAAGUUAGAGGACCAAAAAAGUCAUUGUGCAUUAAAAUUAAUAUAUUUGUUUGUUUUUUUUUAAGCAAAAAUGAAAUAGAAUAUAACACACGCAUGCUUAAAUGUGUUUAAACACAUGAUGAUGAAGUUGUUGCAACAACAACAAUAACAAUAUAAACCUAGUAAAUCAACCACAGUGGGAUAAGUUUAGGGGUGAUAUCAGUUUAGUUCGAUUGGGUUUUUUAGAUUUUUUUUAACCAUUGAUCAUAAUUUGGUUUGAUUCUCAUUUUUUUCUUAUUAAUUUUUUAUUUUGAUUUGUAGACUUUUUUUAUAAAAUGAGUUUUGUUUUAUGGCUUUUGAAUAUUAUUUGACAAAAUUUCAAGUUUUUUUUCAUAAAUAUUUCUAAAAAUAAUUUUUUUUAAAAACUGUUAAAUUAUUUUCAUUAUUUUAAAUAUAAAAUAUUUUUUACAAUAAAAAAUUAAAAUUAAUUAUAUAUUAAAUAAAAUAUAGAAUUCGAUUUGAAUUCAAAUAACUACAAUUUUUAAACUUACAUUUCAUAAAUCAUCCAAAUUCCUCGAUUCGAGUUAAUUUUCGAAUUUUUUUCAGCCAUACAUAAGCUUAGUUAAGAUAACCUAAUUUUAUUCGAAUUCAUAACUUUUUCAUACUAAUUUUGAGUUUUGAAUUUUUGAACUUAUUUAGAUAAAAUAAUUUUAUGAUUUUUAGACAUUAUUUGAUAAAUAUUCAAAAGCUAUAUAUAAAUAUUUCAAGAAAACAAUUAAAUUUUAAAUUAAAUAAAAAUAAUCAAUAGUUCUUAUGUACUAUAUUUAAAAAUAAUUUUUUAUAUAAAAUUUUGAGUUAUUUUUACUAAAUAUUUUGCCCCAAUACCAAAAUGUUCCUCAACACUAGAGGUGUCCAUGGGCCAAGCCGGGCCCAGGAAAAAUUUUCGGCCCACCUCCUAGGCCCGGGCCUGGCCCGAAAUAUGGGCCUAAAAUUUUGCCCAAGCUCGGCCCGGGAAAAAUCAUAAGCCCGAGCUCGGCUUGGCCGGGCCCAUUUUUUAAUAAACACUAAAAAAUUAUUUUAAAAAUAAAAAAUUAAAAAAUAUUUUUAAAAUAUUUUAAAAUUAAGAAUUAAAAAUAUAUAUUUAUUAUAUUCAGGUCGGGCCCGGGCCAAAAAAUGGUGCCCGAGGCCCAACUCGUUUUCUAAACGGGCCUCGUUUUUUGCCCAAGCCCAUAUUUCGGGCCUAUAUUUUUAUCCGAACCCUCCCAUAUUUCGGGCAGGCCGUCGGCCUGGACCGGGCCGCGCAGCCCAUGGACACCUUUACUCAACACCCCAGGAAAGGAGCCCACACUGCUACAAAUGCAUAAUGGGCAAAGCCAUAACACCAUUCUCAUAAUUCCACCAAUCAUAAUUAAGGGUGAGCUUUUGAUCGAAUAGAGUCAAAUUGAAUAAAAAAAUUCAAGUUAAUCAGAUUGGCAAGUUUCAUUUUAUCGUCGUAAUUGGAUUUGAAAUUUUUUCAGAUCGAGUUGAAUUAAUUGAAAUUAUUCAAGCUAAAUUAAAACUUUAAAGAUGUCAAAUUAAAAUCUUGUUACAAUAUAACUAAUUUCAUGUGAGAGCAUAUAAAUUUGAAACCAUAUAUAUUUGAAAACUCUUUCAAAAUAAAAUAAGAUACUUUAGUAUGCUAAAUUUGAAUUGUUAAUUUAUUUAUUUAGGCCCCAAAAUUAUUAUUUUAGAUUUUUUAAUUUUAAAAAUUAUCUUUAGAAUUUUUUAUAUAUUUUUAAAAAUAUAACUUUUGGAAUUUUUAUAAAUAUUUUGAAUUCUAAAAAUUAAUUUUGAAAUUUUGAAAAUCAUUUUGAUUUUUUGUAUUUUUUGUUAAAAGAGUGACCAAUUUGCUCUGUUUUUUUUUUAAAUUGACAGAGACCAAAGGGGUAUUUAUACUAAUCUAUUAUUUGAGUUAUUCGAAUUGUGAAAUUCAACCCGACUCGAACUCAAAACUUGAGUUGCUUAUUUGAGUUGACUAAAAAAAUCGAAUAACUUGAUCCAAUUAACUCAAAAUCCGAAAAGAAUUAAUUUUUUUUAGUUGAAUCUAAUUUUUGUUACCCCUAAAAACCCAUCAUAUCAAAUCUAAUCUCAUUAAUAGUCUCAACAUCUCAUGUUAGUCACAUUUGGCCCACUCUCUCAACUCACUAACUUAAUUCAAUUCACAUCCUAAACCAGACCUUAUAUCACUGCUUUCAGAACAAGACCAUUCAAGGUAAUGUGCCAGAGGAAUGGGUCAAAUCGAUUCAACUCACACCUAAACUUGAAAGGGUCAAAUCUAACAACCACCCUAAACCAAACCUAAGAUCCCUGCUUUCAAAGCUAGAUCGAUCAAUCAAACCAAAAAUUGAUAGUACUGUUUCAAAAUAAAAGGUCAAAUUUGAUCAGUUUGAGCUUUGGGUACUUCUUUGUCGAAGUUGGCCUGAGUAGUUCUUGCGAUGAAGAUCGCCAUUAUUGCCGAGAUUGCGAAGAGGAUGGUUGGCAACUUCAUGGUUGUAUAUAUAUAUAUAUUUCUUGAGUGAAUGUUUUGGAAGAAGUUGGUAAUGGAAGAUUUUAUAGAGGAAUUCUGAAGAGUAAGGAGUUGACAUUGGGGAAAAUGGAUUUACAAGAAACGCCUUUCACUGUAUCUUAAAAGGUAAAUCAAUUAAUUGAAUGUAAAGGAAAGAUGUAUCUCCAAAGAUGAUGCAUCUCUCCAUUUCAACUAAUAUGGAAAACAAUUUUAUAAACUUUGGUUUUCUGAAUUUUUUGAAUUAAUUAUUUUAUUUAUUCUCGAAUUUUUUAUACUAAUAUUUAUUUUUCGUUGGAAAAUAUUUUAUUUAAUUGACAAAUAUUUGGUUUAACCAAACUUUUUUUGUGUUGACUUUAUCUGUUUUUUAUCUUUAACAAUAUGUUGUUUUUUUAAUUUUUAAGAUCUCAUUUUCAGACAUAGGUACAAUGUUUCAAGACUUAAGUACAUUAGUCUAUCAUUAUUGAAAGACUUGGGAGUUGUUCAAAGUCACAUUAGUCUAUAUUGUGACAGUCAGAGUGCUAUUCAUUUAGCGAAAAAUCAAGUCUAUCAUUCAAGAACCAAGCAUAUCGACGUAAGAUAUCACUUUGUGCGGGAAGUCUUUGAAAAAGGAAAAAUUCUACUUCAGAAGAUUCCGACAGCAGAUAAUCCCGCAGAUAUGAUGACCAAGGUGGUAACAACAAUCAAGUUUAAUCAUUGUUUGAAAUUGAUUAACAUCCUGAGGAUUUGAGCACCUUUAGGUGUAUGGCGCUCGAGAGCGUAUUUGGAGGCACUACAAAAGAUAGCUUUAUCGAAUUUGGGGAGUUGAAGGAAGUGUGUGAAGAUGUGAUUAUCCUAAUCAAAUCUUCAAGGUGGAGAUUGUUGAUAAGUCAAAUUAAAAAGGGGUUGAAAAGUCAAAAAUGGGAGGUGCAAGUGGCACCGAAAGAAAAAAAAAGUGAUAGGCAAGUUGUUUAAAGUUGAAUAGGAUAAUUGCAAUUUUGGUCCCUAAUUUUUUAGGCCAUUUGCAAGUUAGUCCCUGAACCUCAACUAUAAAUAGGCCUAACCAUUUCUCAUUUCAACCAUCCCAACCAAUCUUUCUCUCUUAGUUUUCUCUCUUCUCCCAUUUGAGAAUUCUUAAGGAAUUCUAUUUGUUUGUAAUACUUUGGAGAUAGUAAAGUUAUCAUCUGGUGUUAGUGCCCGAGGACGUAGGUAUAAUUUACCGAACCUCGUUAAAUCUCUUGUGUUCUUUCUUGUCCUAUUUUUCUUUCAAUAUUUGAGGGUAUAAUAGUAGUAUUUAAUUGUGCUAUUAAAUUACUAUAGAAGGGAUAUUCUGUCUAAGGAAAGACUUGGUAUUUAAGAGAUCCAUGUGAUCCACCUCUCUUCCCUGGGAAUUGAACUUUGUGUGAUUUUUUAGUACAAUAAUUUACACGCUUCCGACCCUAUUGGAACAACACUAUACACAUUUUAAAAAAAAUAUCAUCUUGUACCAUACUCUUGUACAAAAUUGGCUUAACUAUAUGAAUACAAUUGGUCAGGCAUUGAAAUGCAACAUUAUGGUACAUGUAAAAGGAACUCAUAAAGAGAACUUUGGGUUGCUUUUCGAUAUGCUAUAUAAAUUAUGUACAGUGUGAGAGCUUACGAUAGCCUUUGCAAAGGAACAUUGUGAUAUGUCUAUAACGGAUAAAGGAGUAGCAACAAAAGCUCCACCAUCAGUUCAAAUGGUUGUGGAAGCAUUAGUCGGAGAUUUAGAAUGGUGAGACACGAAUGAUUCUACAAAUGGAUUCACAAGAUGUGGAGCUUCAUCCUGCAUGCACAUUAGUAAUACAGCAAUGAACUAUCAUAUUUGUUAACAGAAAAACCUGUCGAACCAUAGUUUCAUGAGAGAGCAAACCUGAGGGCAGUGGCCAACAUUGGGGAGGACAACAAAGUCUUCUACAGUAUCGAAAUCCACGUAGGCUCUUCUGAGUUCGAUGCUUUCCCAUGAUCCUUGUCACCCCAUGCUAUCAAGGUGUAGGCGAUGAGAACAGAAAAGACCAUACUACAAUAAUUUCAACAACUCAAUGACUUAAAAAAAAACCUUUCGAAUAAUUAAAUAAUAUUUUGUAACUUUUUAAAGUUUAUGUUUCAUUCACUAGGAUGGUAAGUUUUUUCUUUUUUAAAGUUGAUCAGUACCCAUUAACUAGUACAAAAAUAUACUUUAGAUCCAAGUUGAUAUGAUGGCUAAUGUUAGAGAUUGGAAAAGAAAAUAAUUUAGAUUUUGGUUCAUAAAUUCACGAUGUUCAAAGUUGUUUUAUAAAAAAAAAAGAAUUAGGUUUAAGUGAUGAGAACAAAAAAGAUCAUACAACAAUGAUUUUAACGGUUUAAUACUUAAAUAAAAACUUUGAAAUAAUUAAAUAAAUAUUUUCAUGACUUUGAAUGUAAUUUAAAUUAUUUAAAAUAAAUAGUAUUGUUAAAUAUAAAUAUCAAAUAAUAAAAUUUGAAAAUCAAUCAACAAGUAUAAAAUAUUUAAUAAAUGGUAUAAUUUUAAAAGAGACAUAAAAAUUAUAUCAAGUGAUAAAUAUAUCUUGAUUCUUGAAGAUUUUAUCCUAAAUUAUUAAACACAUUAAAUAAGUCAAUAAUGAUUAGAUUACGAUAAAAUAAUUAUUUAAAAAAUAAAUAUAUUUAUUAAAAGAUUAUGUAAAAGGAUAAAGUUAGAAGAUUUAAAUUUCAGGAAUUAAAUCUUGAUAUAAAUAUUAAUACAAAUUUUUAAAAAGAAAAGAUAUGAUUUGAUAUUCACAAAAUUUCUGUCUUUUCUAAUAAUAAAUCGGUGAACUAUCUAGUAGUGUGGAAGAACCAAAGCUUAUUAUCAGAGAGAACCUGCGUUGCCGGAACAUGGCUUGCCUCACUGCCCGACGAUCACUAUCAACUCUUUUAAGCCGCGCCCUCACUUCUUCUUCUUAUUCUUCCUUUCCUUCCCUUUCUCGCCUCACUGUUGCUUUCCUCAACAAAACCUUAGUUUUUAUCCCCGAUGCAACAAAAAUCCUGACCCGAACCAAGACAUACGGGUCCGACUACUCGCCUUUUCGUGACCCUUCCCGAUUACCAUCGGUUUUCCUAGAUGGCCAUAAUUAUGAACAUUGGCUUAUCAUUUUGGAAUUCCCAGAACGCCCAAAACCUUUGGAAGAAGAAAUGAUCGAUACCUAUGUUAAAACUCUCGCUUCUGUUGUCGACAGG